rnacentral:lncRNA from 1 species
CAUGCAUCCCUGUUUACCUUUUCUUAUACCUCCCCCACCCAACCAACAUCUAUCCCAUGGCCUCUGUUUUUCCCUUUUUUCCUUACCCACUCAUCCAUCCAUCUCAUUCCCUUUGCUUUCCUUAUCUCGGAUUCCUCCAACAAAGCAGCCUUUAUUCAUAGUAGAUGCACCAUGGGGCUGAAGGAAACAUAGAUUUUAAUGAAUUUGCUUGGAUGUAGUCCACCUGUCUUCACCUUCUCCUUCACCAAUGCUGCUUCUUCAACACAGCAACAGUUGGAUUCAAACAUGCAAAUUUUUCAAUGACCGUUCUUUCUUGCAAGGCUUAGAUAAUAGCACAAAUUCUUCCUGAUUGACAAAUUACUUUUACCAGCGAUAUCCUUCUUCUCUUUUGAUCGGCAUACCAUUUGACCAUCAUCCAGUUUUUUCAUUCGAUUUCUUUCAUCAUUCUCUUCAUACUUUAAGAUUUUUUUCCAUCACUUGUGGCCUUUAUUAUUUUUAAUUUCUUCCACAAAUUACAAAUUUCCCUAGUUACAAUAGUUCAGACCAAACUUUUUGUUGGCCUCACUAUAUUUCUCCUUUUUUCAUACUGCUCAAGUUGACAUGUAUCAUGUAUGAACUUCUCAAUUUUGUGCAUUUUUUAAGUUCAAUCUUGGUUAUAUAAGUUAAUAAUAUUCAUUACAUUUAACAUGUUACCCCAGGUAUACAGGGAAUUUGGGAGUUGUUUCACUGAUCAAAAAGCUCAGGCUCAAUUAUUGAGUUCCACAUUUUAUUUCCUAAUAUUAAAUAAAGAUAUGAAUGAAACCUAGGUGCAAGUUCAACUCAGCUUAGGAGGUCAAAGUUCAAUUCCUCACAAAUGAGGGGAGGAAGGAUUAUAUAUACAAAUUCCUCUUGGCGUUCUUUCAUGAACCUCUGCAACAUCCUCACGUAGGAGGUAAAAAAUGUUUAGAGGAGCCUGAGGUUAUUUCUAAAAAUGACGGUCUAACCAUAACUAACCAAGAGACACAUCACCCACUUAAAUGUGAAGAAGAGUGCAAGGUUCUCUUGAUCCACUAAUAGAUAGUGAAUUCAUCAAGAAAAGCAAAAGAAGUAAGAGUUACAAAUCCUGACCAAGAAGAAAAGGGCUUCAACACAUUGCUUGAAGAUGCUUCUAAAUUUCUAAUGAAAUCUGUUGAUUGCGUAGAUACAAAGUGAAAAAAAUUGAUAGAUCUCCUGAUGUGACCCUUUUCCAUAUCCAAAUUACCAUUAAGGAGAACCUUCAAUCGAAACUAGAACAAGAAAAACAAGACUAAAAAUCAAUUACCACCAGAUAUUAGCAAAGACCAUAUUUUCUAGUACAAAGCAAGCAACCCCGAUCAACAUUAUCAGACGCCCUCCCUGAAUAUUCAAUCUAUGAAAAUAUUCUCAAGUAUUGAUGUAUGCUGAUAUUCAAGGUCACUUUAAACCAUGAAAAAUGCAUUAUCUCUGAUAAAAAGCAAUCCAAUUACUAUACACCAACUUUCCAGAAACCAUUCUUAUAGAUGUUUUUCCUUAAAAUCAUGGAGGAGGCACUAUGCAGCAACUAACUCAUCCCUGAUCAAUCAUAUCUUCUGCACCCUCAUCCAGAAAGGGGUGAACUCAACCUAGGAUUGGAAAUGAGUCAGAUAUUAUCCAGCCAUAUCCAUUUUUGUAUCAGCUUCGGAUUGAAUUUGGAUAGGAAUAUUUGAAUCCAAUGGAUCCGAAUCUGAAUUUGCAAGCAAAUAUGAAUCCACAUAUGCAUUUUGAAAAAUAUCAAUCCUUUUCACUAUGAAAAAUGAAAUAUUUCAGUUUUCCAUUUAUGAUAUUUUCAAAACUUGGUUGUUUAAAUUAUUUAAAAUAUCAAUACAUAUAACAUAUCCUUACAUCUAUACAUAAUUCUUUUGCAAGUUCUCUAUAAAAUAGAUAAUUCUUGAUCAUUUUUAUGUUAUAUAUUUUCAUUUAAAAAAACUAAUUUCUAAUAUAUUUUUUACAUAUCUAAUUGGGCCAAUGAUCCAAUCCAGACCUUUCAUCGUUCGGUCUUCAUGUGAGCAUAAUAUGUCGUACCGGUCCGAACCAGGCAGUACGGAGCAUACCGUACCGGCUCGGUACCAGUAUUCAGUACGAGUGGCAUACCGGGAAAAAAAAAUUUCGUACUAUACCGUAUCGAUACUGUGCUAGCGUGGCACCGAUACGGAGUCCGAUACCAAGACAGCGAACCUUGCAUGUGAGUUUAGCAACUAUAAUUUAGACCCUUGCCUAAGUAGUUGUGUGUUGCAUACAAUUUUGAUAUUGGAUUCCAUACCAAUGUUUCAUGACUAUGCCAUUUAUAUUGGUUUUGAUUAUUGAAGUCUGCUCGAAAUCCAAUUUAUAUCUGAAAAAUAUCCAACAUAUCCAUAUUUGAAUAGAGAAAAAUGGAUAUAACAAAUAUUUGACUUGUAACCAUAUCGAUUUAAAACAAAAAUGAAUAUGGUUAAUAUCCAAUUUGUAUUUGUGUCCAUUUAGAACAAACAUGAAUACUAGUAUCUAUAUUCCUAUCCAUUAAAAAAUAUGGAUAUGGGUAUGGAUAUACCAAUAUCUGAUAUGUAUUUAGCCCUAACUCAACACCUUAUCUACACAUUACCUACAUGGAGCAAUAUUGUCGAAUCUAAAUAAUCAUUCUUACUAGGGUCCAAAAAUGUUUGAUAUAAUAUAGAAGCAAAACCAUUAGGGCCUAUAAGUUUCUCUCCUUCUAUGCCAAACUAGACAUCACUAAUAUCCUCUGAAAUAUGGAAAUACCUUUCAAACUUGAGAGCCCCCUGCUUCCUCAAUUCCUCAAACGUUAAACCCUCCAAAUUGGAUCUCUAUGAAUUACUCUUCUUCGAAUUAAUUUGCAGAUGAACCCCCCCUGCAGGUGGUCCAUGCUUUUGUGUAUCCACAAUCUUUACCACCGCAGAUAGCAAUAGUGAACUUACAGUUAAGACCAACUCCUAAACUCAACAGAUAGUUUACACUUUACAGUUUCCGUUAAAUCAUCCAACGAGUCAAACCAACCUACCAAACAACCCCUCAAUACCCUGAUGAGCCCAAAAAAAGGGUGGUGUUCAUCUAAGUGGCUGCAUUGUGCUAUCUUAAUGAUAAAGGUAGUUACAACUUUUGAAGAUCUAUGCAGAACAUACCCUCUCUCUCCCUCUCUCUCGUGGAACAAAAACAUGGCUGAUCCACCCUGUUUCAUCAGAAGAUACCAAAGAUUUUUCUCAACUGAACUAUAAAUUUCUUUUGAGUCCAUUAUAUAACAAACUAUACCAAGCUAAAUAAAAUGACAGCAAAGGAAAUGGCUGAGCAGUAAUUCGAUAGCCUGUGUAAUUCCGACUUAAUAAUGCUCAAGCUAACUGGUUGAUAUAGGUGGUGAGAUCCACGAAACAAAAAGCGGCCUUCUACUACGAAGAUCCUUGGCCCAUCCUUUCCUCUCAUAAGGUCCAUUAAAUAAUUUCUCAAAAUCCAAAUUUUGAUAACGAUGAUCGCAAAAGAAUCUAUUCCUUGAUAAAUAUCCAAAACAAGCAGACUAUAUGAUAACGAAUCCAUAACGAUAUCAAAAACAGAUAAAACAGAGAUCUAAAUGUAUUAUUUUCGAAAGGACUAAAAGGAUUAUAUGCGUUAUGUUAGAGAGGAAUAAAAGGGUUAGGGCUUUACCUGCGAAGGGCAGGGGCCAUCUUGUUGGUAAGGGUACCAGCAACGAUCAUACAAUCGGACUGGCGAGGGCUGGGCCGGAAGAUCACGCCGAACCGAUCGAAAUCGUAGCGAGCGGCGCCGGUGUGCAUCAUCUCCACGGCGCAGCAGGCGAGCCCGAAGGUCAUCGGCCAGAUCGACCCGCGCCGGGCCCAGUUCAUCAGAUCAUCCACCUUCGAUAUGACGUACUCCGCCGCCUUCGACAGCCCGGUCGGAGACGACGUGGACGGCGGCGCCGGGCGGGCGUACGGUGCCGGGUACGGCGGCGAAGAGGCGGAUGAAGAGUAGGGAAUCGACGCCGGGAUCGCGGCCGCCGCCCGCUGGGAGGAAAGGAGGACAAGGCGGGCGGUUCGCGGGAGGAGAGCCAUCUAGGGUUAGGGCUUGGUCGCGGAGUAUGGAGGGAGGAGCGCUCGGAAUUAAUAAAAGAGGGGAUGAGAGAGAGUGAGGUUCGGAGAGAAUUGGGGGUUGGACGGGAGAAGCGUGGAAGUUCGAUGGAGAUCGAAGCUCGUGGAAACCCUGGAAGCGGGACUUGAUUGAUCGUGUGACCCCUUUUUGACCUUGUUAGUUCAUCCCAGGGUGGCCCUCCGGCUCGGGAAAUUCGUGACCACUUUUAGUUUUUGAAAUUUAAUAAAUAAAAAUAAUACAGUAAGGACGCCAUAGGAAAAAAAAAUAUAAAAACGACUUUUUUUAUUUUUUAUGCUUAAUUUUAAAAAAAUAUAAAUAAUAGGAUUAUCACUCAUGAAGUUCAUCAAAUCUUCAAUAUAAAAAAAUUAAAAAAAAUUACAUGCAUCAAAAGAGAACAUAUGUGAAGAAAAACUAUCUACAUCCUUUUUUUUUCUCGUCGAGUCUCUCCUUCUAUCAUCUUCUCCAUCAAGUCAUCUCUCUCAUUCGUGAGGACNNNNNNNNNNNNNNNNNNNNNNNNNNNNNNNNNNNNNNNNNNNNNNNNNNNNNNNNNNNNNNNNNNNNNNNNNNNNNNNNNNNNNNNNNNNNNNNNNNNNNNNNNNNNNNNNNNNNNNNNNNNNNNNNNNNNNNNNNNNNNNNNNNNNNNNNNNNNNNNNNNNNNNNNNNNNNNNNNNNNNNNNNNNNNNNNNNNNNNNNNNNNNNNNNNNNNNNNNNNNNNNNNNNNNNNNNNNNNNNNNNNNNNNNNNNNNNNNNNNNNNNNNNNNNNNNNNNNNNNNNNNNNNNNNNNNNNNNNNNNNNNNNNNNNNNNNNNNNNNNNNNNNNNNNNNNNNNNNNNNNNNNNNNNNNNNNNNNNNNNNNNNNNNNNNNNNNNNNNNNNNNNNNNNNNNNNNNNNNNNNNNNNNNNNNNNNNNNNNNNNNNNNNNNNNNNNNNNNNNNNNNNNNNNNNNNNNNNNNNNNNNNNNNNNNNNNNNNNNNNNNNNNNNNNNNNNNNNNNNNNNNNNNNNNNNNNNNNNNNNNNNNNNNNNNNNNNNNNNNNNNNNNNNNNNNNNNNNNNNNNNNNNNNNNNNNNNNNNNNNNNNNNNNNNNNNNNNNNNNNNNNNNNNNNNNNNNNNNNNNNNNNNNNNNNNNNNNNNNNNNNNNNNNNNNNNNNNNNNNNNNNNNNNNNNNNNNNNNNNNNNNNNNNNNNNNNNNNNNNNNNNNNNNNNNNNNNNNNNNNNNNNNNNNNNNNNNNNNNNNNNNNNNNNNNNNNNNNNNNNNNNNNNNNNNNNNNNNNNNNNNNNNNNNNNNNNNNNNNNNNNNNNNNNNGUCUCUCUCUCGUCUCUCUCUCUCUCGUCUUUUCCCCUCCCAUCCCCCUAGCCAGCUAGCCCCCAUCCUUUCCUUUCCUUAAACAGGUCAGGUCAGGUGACUUGUUUAUUAAACAGGUCGGGUUCAGGUUGUAAUUUCGGACCUGUUUAUUCAACUGGUCGGGUUCAGGUUGUAAUUCCUGACAUGUUUAAUAAACAGGUCGGGUUCAGGUUUAUAAUUUUCUGACCCGACUUGUAUCUGACCCGGCAUGUUUAUGCUUGACCCGACUCGAUUGCCACCCCUAUUGCUAGGUGUGUAUUAGAAAAACUUACAGUAUGUAUCAGUAAGCUGACAAAUGUAUAUCACUUGGCCAUGUAGUGUGUACUAAUGAGUAUCAUAUUCUAGACUGUAUAACGAUUUACCUAGAGGUGUGUAUUGGGAUAUUGGUGCUAGGUAUGCACUGACUAGCCAUAUAUUAUGUACUAGUCGACAUCAUAUUCUAAAAGCUAUAUAUCGACUUACUUAGAGGUAUGCAUUGGAUUGCUACUAGGUUUGUGUCAAAAAAACUUUGAUAUCUAUUAGGAAGUUGAUGAGUGUGUAUCACUUGAUGAGAAAAAAAAGAGCAUAAUCUUUCUUUGCGCACGGUCUUUAUUAAUGCGUGAUUUUUUUAUUUUUAAGUUAUAGAAUUUACGAACUUCAUUACUAAGAGAAAUUCUAUCUUUAUUUGACUUCCGAGUUUUCUCUUUAAGAUGGGCAUAACUGGAAAUGUGGCAAAAAGAGUCCAGCCCAUUUGAUGUAUUAUGGUGUGGUCGUUCACUUUAGUUCCGAUUCUCAUGUCCCUUUCCAGCAUGCCUAUAUGGUCAGCAAGAUGGAGUGUCUACCUGAUAAAUUUUUGAACCAUAUUUUGAGGCUCGAGGGGCAAUGGAAAGCAGCCUUUGAGUGGGCCGAGCUAUGCGAUGCGAAGACUAUAGUGGCUGAGGCAAAGGCCAAGUUGGCCAAGGCGAGGACCAAGUCGGCUAAGGAUGAGUCCAGGUCGGCAAGAGUCCGUGCUUCGAUCGCGCGAACCCAAGUGGAGGUAAAGGAGGCCCAGCUGUCCCCGACCAGAAAGGCCUUAAAGCUACCGAUCAAAAAGUGGCAGACCUUUUCGUGGAGCUGUCCUAAGCUAAUCAGAGGGCCCGAGAGGGUGAACAACGGGCCACAAAGUUGAGCAACUAGUUGAUGAGGAAGGGUGUCGGGUUGAGGAGGCCGAGCGGCAGGCCAAUAAGGCUAACCGACGGGUUGCCGAGGCUACCAAGUAGGCCCUUUGCACCGAAGCGAAGGUUGUGGGAGCAGUCGAAGAGUACUGUGCCUCAGAUGAGUUUCGAGAGGAGGCCUUGGAGACUACAACUUAUGCCCUUGGAAAGGGCUUCAAAGCAUGCCAAGCUCAAGCUCACCAGCUUUUCCAGAGGAUGGACUUCUCUGUCCUCAAUGUCGAUGAUGGUGUAGCUGGUGAAGGCGGUGACCUUGACGACAAUGAAGGUGGGGAUGCCGGCCACAAUGAAAGCGCCAAUGGGGGCAAGGGUGAAGAAUGAAGUCUUCCACCUCGUUAUUUUCGCUUGUUUUGCUUUUUGCUCGAGUGAGCCAAGCUUGAUGUACCUUCUUUUUGUUUGGUCUUUGUUGGGCCAGUGUAAAAGGUUACAAAUUUAAUAAAAGUAAAGGAUUUUUCGAGUACCUAAUUUCGAUUUUAUAUAAUUUUCUUAGAAAAAUAAAUGCUCAACUAAAUAAAAGCCAUUCUGAAAUAUGCCACUUUUUCAUAAUUAACUAAACAUGAAAAACUAUUUUUCAGAUAUUAUAUAUCUAGACAUCACCUUUCUAAAAAAAUAUUUUAAUUUUUUUUAAUGAACCAAAUAAGUCCUAAAAUUGCUUCUUCUUAUCUUUUAUAAGAAUAAUCAUAUCAAAAGAUAAUUCAAGACAUAGCAAUUUGAUUCUAGUUGUAAGUUACUUGUGAACAUACACGUUGGAAAAAAUAUAUAUGACGAGCGCAAUUAUUAUAACAAUGAAGUUAUUGUCAUUUGAGGCUCUAGUUGGAAGAGCUGUUGGCAGUAAAACUUUUAGAAGUAAAGCUUUUAUAAAAAAGCUAUUUGCUGUUUGGUAACUACAUUUCUAAAGUGAUGUGGUACUUUAGCAUAUAUUUGGUAAACAAACCGAGAAAAUAUUUUUGUAUGACAAAAUUACCAUAAAGGACAUUGCAUAAUAUUAUACAANNNNNNNNNNNNNNNNNNNNUUACCAUAAAAGACAUUGCAUAAUAUUAUACAACAGAGCAUAAUAAAAUAUAACAUAUAUUAAUACAUAAAUAUAUGAUAUAGUAUAAUAUUACUGUAAUAUAAUAUAAUAUUAUUAUAGUAUAGUAAUAUAAUAUUGUAUACUAUAGCAUAAUAAUUUAAUAUAAUAUUAAAUUAUCUAACAUAACAUAUCAAUGUAUUAUGAUAUAAUAUAAUAUAAUAUUAUAUUUAUAAUAUAAUACAAUAAUAAAGGUACAAAAUAUUAUAAUUAUUAGCAUACAUUAAUUUCAUAAUAUAACAUAAUAUUAAAUUAUUUAACAUAAUAUUAAUGUAUUAUGAUAUAAUAUAAUAUAAUAUUAUAUUUAUAGUAUAAUACAAUAAUAGGAAAUAAGAUUACCUUUUCUUGCACGAAAGGGAGUCCGAUCCACUAUUAGAGUUCGUUGUUAUGGCUCUAGCAGAUUUUUAGAUUUAUAAAAGGACAAAGUAUGUAAUUGUUAUAUUUUAUUAUGAAUAUUUUGAUUAAAAAACAGCUUUCCGACAAAGUUCAAACAGCUUUUUCGGAAAGCUCCAAAAUUGAGCUUCUUCCAAAAAGCUGUUUUUAGCUUUUUGAAAAAGUUAAAACUACUUUUGAAGUUUUUACCAAAUACUUUUUUCAUCCAAAAGUAUUUUUGGAGGACUAGAAAGUGUUUUUGGUCCCCAUAAGUUCUCCCAAACGGGCCGAGCUAUUUAGAGCCGUGAAGCCCUGUUCGGUUGCGUAAUAUAAGGGCUUUUUGGUCAUUUUACGUCUCAUAUAACUCCUUCAGCACUCAGCAGGGGAUCGAUCUAAAAGUUAUUAAAUAAAAAAUUGGAGAGAAAAAACAAAAGCGAAAACAGACCGAGGACCUCGCUAGGGCGAAAGGGAGAAAGAGAGGCGAAGGGGAGUUAUUUUCGUUUUUUUUUUUACUCCGUCGUAUCAAUCCCGGACGCCAAUCCGUUUCGCCACCACACCCUCCCCCGGUCUCGCCCAAACCCCUCGCCAUUUCUUGCCCCUCUCCGGUCUUUCUCCCAUGGCGGAAACCGGAACCGACGCCCCGGCGAGCCCUCCCAGCGGCCGCGGCAGCUGAUCUCCCCGCGAUCGCCGCCUGGAUCGUUGAUGCCCGCCCGCCUCGCCGCCGAUCUCGCCGGAAUUCCGAUCGAUGAACGGGAAAGGACCCGAGGACGCCAGGGCUCCGGCGGUGCCGCCCCCCCUUGAAUGGAAAUUCUCCCAGGUCUUCGGCGAGCGUGCCGCGGGAGAGGAAGUACAAGAAGGUACGAUUUUUUUUUUUUUGCUCCUCUCCUAGAUCCGCUCGAUUGCUGAGACUCUGCGGCUUCCGAUAGCCGCAGUCGGGUUUAGGGUUUCUUGUAUCUGGCUGAUAUGGUUGUGACGAAACCAUUCAUUUUUUUUUGUUGAUCUGAUUAGUUAUUGAUAAAAGUGUGAAAGAUGUCAUGGAAAAAGUAAUGGUAUAUUAGCAUGUUUUUUAAAAAAAGAAUGGAAGUUGUCUCAUGAAUCUGGCCUUCUUUCCCCUUGGUACUGUUUCGUUUCCUCAUUGCGAGUCCCAUGAAUAUUUUUUUCUCUCAUUGGUUGACGACAACUCACUCAUAGAUGUGUGGAAGCACUUCUUUGUCAUUACUUUUGUUGUUUUUAGUCUUAUUUAUAGCUGAGAGGAAUUGCCUUUUUGAGCGAAUGUCACGAUGUGCUUGCUGUUUUCAUAUGGUCGACCUGUUAUGAGUUUUGGAUUUAGUGAUAUCUUGUCUACGUUCAUCAGAAUGUGUUUGUUUAGCUGGGUUCCGUAGCCAUUUAAUACCGAACUUAGUUCAUAUAGAACAGAAAAUUUUGUAUGUUGUGUUUGUCAACAGUUUAACUGGUUUUCAGAUUCUAGUUCUAUCUUCUAUUGCAUGGUGUACAGUUCGUGGGUGCAAAAAAAAAAAAUCUUCUUCAUCUUCUCUCUCUCUCUCUCUCUGUCUCUCUGUGAACUCUAGGAUAAAGUUAUAAACCUAUGCAGUAGAUGAUGAACAACAGGAAUAGAUUGCAACCUUAAGAGAUGCCGAUAAAAUAUGGAUGUAUGAAGAAAGGAAAUGUUAUAGAUGGGUAAUCUAUUUGACGUGAAUCCUUUAUUAAAUGGUCUUAAUUCCUGGUUAAUGCAACUUGUAAGAGAGGGGGGCUUGCUAUGAAUCUUGGAGGGCACUGUGUAGAAAGAAUCCCGUCUUAUUUGCUAGUAGUGAAGCUCAUGCCUUGAGGAUUAAAGACCUCGAGUGACAGCAUGAGCUCAUUGUUUUGGAUGUGAAUUUCCAUUAUCUUUUCACAUUUCAUCAAUUCUUUCUUACAUUAUUUGAGGUUCUUGCUUAAUUCUUUGGAUUUGGUUUCCCUUUAGUCAUUAUUGAUGGAACACAUGAAGGACAAACUUGAAAAUUCAAUUAAUUCUACCUAUAUACUCCGAGAUGCUUUUGGAACAACAAUUGACAUCAGCAUUGAGUAAGAAUUGCUUGACCAUGUUUUUAUUUACCAAGAAGCCCAACUUGCCCAGAACUGUGGAAAUUUAAUCGAAUUAAAAAAGUCUUACCUGAAUUUGAAUUGGAAGGUUUGCUAUUAACCGUCAAUAACAACUGGGAGACAUUGUAACCUAGAUCUUAGUUAUCAAAUUAGAGAUGGCUCAACAUUGAUGUUUGCCUAAUGCUAUUGAAAGGGUUGAGUGUUUGUCUAAUGCUAUUGAACGAGUCGAGCAUUGCUACUGCAAUCAUUCCUGACCUUAGAAAAUGCAUCCAAUGAUCAGUCUUUGAACAUAGAUUGAGUGUUUGCUUUAUCAACAAGCUACCGAAUGCUUGUCUCAAUCUGCAGAAGAUGUCGUGCCAAUCCUUGUGAGAUUACAACCGUUAUGACUCAACUCAUUAGGACGGAAGCAUCGAUACCAUCUCUGUCCCAGCCAUCUUGUUGCAUGGAUCACCUUCUAUAACUAUCCAUGACCUCCAUGAGCACUACUUUCUCACAUUAACAAUGUCAAAUCAUGGUUCAUGAUGCAUUUCUCUAAAGGUGCUUUAGUCAUGAAACUGUGCACUGCAUGAGAAUAGUUCACAUCUAACAACAGGUCUGAUGGAUCCCUGGGGAAGGGGGCCCCACCUAUAUUCUCAUCUGAUCUAGAGGCUGUUCAUUAUCCAUGCAUGUGGGCAACACCUAUUCAUCUUGCCUUAUUAUGCCAACAGAAAUCUCUUGAAUUUUUCUCUAGGGUUACAAUUUUGUUCUCUUGAGUCUGAUAGCUUAUAUAUUCUUAGAGUUCAGGGUUUUGGAGGUCUCUAGGCUUAAGGCCAUAUUAAGUUCAUGGAAGAAUUUCGUGCAAAUUGGGUGAGUGCUGCAGGAUAUCCUUGCAAUUCUUGGCUGUCAGCAUUUUGCCUUUCUGAAGGUAUAACUAGAUGAAUAUUGAAAGUUUAAGGUGUCUGAUCACUAACUUAAAAGGAAAACUUUGAUAUUCAUGAUUAUCCAACCAUAAUUUUUUUUAUCUGUCUCAGCCUCUUUGGAUGCUGAAAACCUAAACAAGGUUGAGAUGAUAAGAUAAUUCUAGAUCAGUAGAUGCAUGCGGUAAGCAAGCUUAGGACUUGUGUUAUUCAUUCAAUGAUUCAAGUGCUUAUGUUUAUUUUAUUUUUAAAAUGUACUAUCACUUUGUCCUAUCUAUGGAGGAGAGAGUCCAUCCUUAUAUGGUCCAACCAAGGAUUGCUAUGCUGGAACUGGGGUCUGCACUGGUUGCCCGGUGACAUGGGUUGGUACGCCCCUAUGUCGUUUUAUGUUGGGCCCAUACUAACACAGUAGAGGGGGCGGAGGAGAGGGAGAACGAGAGAGAGGAAAAAAGAGAGAGAGAGGAGGAUAGAGGAAGGGAGAAGGAAGGAGGCCGACGGAGGGCUGAGGAGCCACGUGAAGGGGUGGAGGAGGGGCUCCACCUCUAGUUUUUCUGUUUUCCUCCACCCCUUCGCACGGCUCUCUGGCCCUUCACCGGCCGGCCGCCACCCUCCCUCUCUUUCUUCCUCUUCCUCUCCCUCUCCCUCUCCCCUNNNNNNNNNNNNNNNNNNNNUCUCCUCCCUCCUCUGCUCUCUCUCUCUCUCUCUCUCUCUCUCUUUUUCCUCUCCUUCCUUUGCUUUCCUCCCCUCUGUUGCCAGUUUCUUAUUUUAGUUGUCGGAACCGUUCUGAUCCGCCACUGGUAUGGUUCAGUACACCCGAACCGGAUGGUUUGGGUUGAUUCCGCUGACCAUGGUUCUAACUCAUUAUUCAAGUGGUUUUGUGUUUGUCACAAGAUUAUUAUAUCAGUUAUAGUUGAAACAGAAAAAUGUAUAGGUACCUUAAUAGUGUGAAUGCACCUUACAACCAAUAUUUCUCUCCCAUUUUUAAGCACUUUUUUGUGCAUUUUCUUAACUCAUAGAGUCAUCUAUUGUUUUGUUAUAACACCCUCAAAAAUAAUUCCAAAAUCAUCAAAUUGGAUUUUCAUACAUCACAAUAUGAUUGGAUCAAUAGUUAAGGAAGCAUCAUAAAAAGUAGCACUUGUGAAUGAACAUCAAAUUAUCUAUUUUCCAAGAUUCGUAGUAUUAAUGCAUGCUGCUAUGUAUCAAUACCAAACCGAGACUUAGUAGGGGGUAUUGUACAGAGUUUCGGUACACCGAACCGACCUCUAUACCAGGCAUAUUGACACUGUACCAGGAUGGUACCGGUACGGGAUCCAGUACCGAGAGGCGAACCUUGCUAUUUUGCGCCCCCCCACAUAUAUGCCACUUGAUGCGUGGACUAUCAUGGAUUAUUUUAUGAAAUCACUCAAUUUGAAUUCUGAGUUUAUGAUGUCAUACUGUGUCUCAUGUUGCCCAGUAGCUAGUGUGUGUGUUUCUUGGUUUCUUGGAAGGAAUGUGAUAUUUUUUGUGUGCCUGCUGAUGCUUUUAAUAUUGUUGUUUGUUGCAGUCGACAUUAUUUCAGCAAUAGAAUUCGAUAAAUCUGGGGACCAUCUUGCUACUGGAGAUAGAGGUGGUCGUGUAGUUUUAUUUGAAAGGACAGAUGUUAGAGAUGUAUGUUCUACAGAUUAUCUCUUUGCUGCCUUUUUCUGUCUGACUUGUUGUGCUUCCCCUUCUUGUGAUAUUAUUUCACAUUUUCUGUCUCUUUGAUCUGUAGCAUGGUUGCAGAAGGGAUCUAGAGAGCCUAGACUAUCCAAUCAGCAGGCAUCCUGAAUUCCGCUAUAAAACAGAAUUUCAAAGCCAUGAACCAGAGGUACCAUCUUUUUGGAAUGUUGCUGAUAGAAAUAUGAUCCUUCAUGCUUGAUGUGACUUGGUCUAGUUUCAUGUUUGUGCAAUCAGUUUGACUACCUUAAGAGCUUGGAAAUAGAAGAGAAGAUCAACAAGAUCCGAUGGUGCCAAAUGGCUAAUGGUGCACUGUUUCUUCUCUCCACCAAUGAUAAAACAAUCAAAUUUUGGAAGGCAGGCUUGCAGUUCCCUCUAGCAUCUGUUACUUUUCUUGGAAUAAUAUUUGCGAAUCAUAAUUUAACAUGAUUGCUGGGGAAUUUGUUUCCCAUGUGCCCCACUGGUCUGUUUACCACUGAGCUUCUAUACAUAUUUCUGAUGACUCAUGAAUCCAUCUUUGGAUCUCACGGUGCAUCACUCCAAGAUUUGUCACACUGCCAUCGAUGCAAACCAUAUUUUGACUAUUUGUAGUGAUCAACUAUCAUAUCAUCCCUUAUCUGUUAUUUACAUAUUGUUUACUGGAUUAUUCUACUUAAGUAUCAGAAUUUACAAAUCGGCAAAAGCAUUAUAAUCUUGCGAUAUGUUCUAGAAUCUAAUGGUGUUCUUUUGUUGAAAAUAUAUCCAUGCUUUCCAUCUGUUAUAACUCCUAUUUUUUUUUUUUAUAGAUUUAUUGCUGAAGACAUUCUUCAGAUAUUUUUCUAGGUUAAUUGAUAAAUCUCAAGCAUCAAUUAGUUGGAUUAAGUAAAACAAAACUAUUCUGGACGACAAUAAUAAUCUAUAUAGAGAUUGCAUACCGUGAAAUUUUUUCUCGACAAUGUCAUGAAUAAGGAAUAUUUGUUGUCUCUUUUCUAUAACAAAUAUUUUUUAUCAGAAUAUUAAUUCAUGUUGAACCUUUUGAUCUUUCUUAAAUUACCUGAGAAAAGCCAUGCCUAGCUGUCUUUAUGCACAUAUUGUAAGGAUUAGAAUAGAUCUGAGCUAGGAAUUGCUAAUUUUGAAAUAGUUGCUCAUGGUGCCUGCUGUUGGCUGUUUUUGGAAGUGAUUUCAUUUCUCUUUUUUGUGGAUAGGUUUGUCUGUGCUUUAUGUUUGACCUUCUUACAAAUAUUUCCUGUUAAAUUUCUGAUUUUUUUUUGCACAUAUACAGGUGCAAGAAAAGAAGGUGAAAAGAAUUUCUAAGAUGAAUUUGGAUCCUUCUCAAGCUGCAGCAAAUGGUAGCAUUGCUAGCUCAAGUACUGCCAGCCCUAGAGUGUGCCUUCCAAAUGGUGGAUGUUCAUACAAUUAUAUGAGCAACGACUUUUCCUUUCCUCCUGGAGGAUUUCCAUCAUUACGUUUGCCUGCGGUAGUUGUGCUCAGCCCAGCCCAGCAAUAUCUACCUCAUACAUACAUAUACAUACAUAUAUUUAUAUAUACAUAUAUAUACAUAUAUAUACAUAUAUAUACAUAUAUAUACAUAUAUAUAUUAUAAUAUACAUAUAUAUACAUNNNNNNNNNNNNNUACAUAUAUAUAUAUACAUAUAUAUGCAUUCAUUGAGAAGAGGAGAGGGGUGCAUGUGCUUGCAAAUGUCUGUGUCUCACGUGUGAUGUAUAUCUUUGCAUGAGUUUUUGCAUUGUAUUUCACAGCAUUGUGUGCAUUAAUUAUCUUAUGUCAUCCAAUAUAUUCUUUUGUUGUUAACUCUUUUUCCUGAUCCUCUUAUGAUUUAUCAAUGCACUUAUGUUCUUUCAUUUAGUUAUAGUUGUUGCCAUCUUUAGAAAUGAUCACUAAGAUGUCUUGCAUGCAUCUAUAUACGAACAGGUAGCAAGCCAAGAAACAAGCCUUGUUGCUAGAUGUCGAAGAAUAUAUGCUCAUGCACAUGAUUAUCACAUCAAUUCAAUUUCCAAUAACAGGUUCAUGUCACACCUUUCACCUUUCCUUGUGGUGUCAUCAGUUCUUUGGUCUUGCUUUAGAUGUCUUAUACUUGGUUUGGAAAUUUUUGGCACAAAUUUCAUAUAUUUUCCCCCUUUUCUUUGUUGGGAACAGUUGAAAGUCUUGCUGAGUUAUAUGUUAAUUGCUCCCAUAUAUUUAAGGGACAAUUUAGGUACUUCUUAAUCUGGAUUGUAAGUUUUACUAUUGAUUAAGCUAAAUGCUUAGAAAUGGACAGCGGAACAAGAAAAAAAUGCCCCUAGAUUUUUUUUUUGAACCCUAGUAUUUAUCUUGAAAAACUUAAAGUAGGUUAUAUGCAGAUUUUUUUAUUUGAGAAAGGCCAUAGAUUUCACCACUGAGAAGUUGGUUUGGUUUGGUAUGGAAGGUCUCCUGAGAGGGUAAAUGACUUAGCAAGGUUAUGAAAAUGUGAUGUAAUAAGUGUUCAUUUAAACAUUUGGCAGUGGCUUAUUUUUUGGGAAGAUUGGAUAGUACUGCCUAUGUCAACUAUGUUGCAAUAACUGAGUAUGGUUUUCUUACAUUUCUUUUUGGAUUGAUUUACAUUUAUCUCCUUAUAUAGAGUCUGGAUGGAACCCUUUUGUCUUUUUUUUUCUUAUGCUGAAGAAAAAUAAUUUACUGAACUGGACUAUCAUUUGUAUGCAACUUUCAUAAUUAAAUCAAGUGAUCUAUUGAUAAUUGUAAGUUAUUUUCUUGCUUGUAACUUCUUGGGCCACCCGACCUGUUUCAAUGGGACUUUAGUGGUAAUAUAAAAAACUAUGGUUAAAUUCUUAUGGCUUAUGCUUGACCUGGUAUGUUUUGUAUGUCUUGACAGCAACAUGUAACCUUCAAAAGUUUUCAGGACAAUGUAGUAUUUAAUUUUGUGUAAUUCAUGAUACAAACUCAAGCUUUACUUCUUUGGAUAUCCAUGCUCUCUUAUUGAAAAUUUCUUAUUUGAUGAUCACUUACGUAAUUUCAUUAUUUUCCUAUUUGCCAGCGAUGGUGAGACUUUCAUAUCAGCAGAUGAUUUGCGAAUAAACCUUUGGAAUUUGGAAAUUAGCAACCAGAGUUUUAACAUUGUUGAUGUGAAACCCGCAAAUAUGGAAGAUCUAACUGGUAUGAAACUAUGAAUAGUUGGCCCGAGUAGGUGAUACUUCUAUCUUAUAAAUUUGGAGGCUGGAAUUUUCAAGUUUAUGCAAGCAUCAUAAUUUUCUGAAGCUAAUCAAACAUAUGUAAGGAUGUGGACUUCUUGAUAAAAUUACAGAUGUUGAGAAUUUGAUGCUAAUCCAUAGCUCAUUUGGUUUUGAUCGUAAGUGUAAAAUUAGGGGUAUCAAUGGGCUAUGCUUGGUUGAUUUACCUGAUUUCUGUCCAAACCUUAUUCCUGAGCGACCAUCUCUGAAGCUAGCCUGAGCAUAGGUUUCUUAUUCUAGGCUGGGCAUAAAUCAGGCCUGAGUUAUUUUUUCCUGUCUCUUGAGUCCAUGGCUAGCCCAACAGGCUUGUACUUGAGCUCGAGAUGAUUAUUUCUUUGGUGGGCCUUCUGUCCGAUUGGACUGCACCAGCCUACAAACAACACCUGAUAUAGCAUGCCCCUUUUCUGUGAUAUGCAUUAUUUUGGUGUUCGUUUGAAAUAUGACUUAAGCUCAACUGAUUUGUUGGGUUCCCAUUAUGUAUUAUAUUAGUGAUGAAAGUAAAUGAAAUUAACUCAUUUUCUGACACUACCAGAGGUGAUUACAUCUGCUGAGUUUCACCCGAAUCAUUGCAACACAUUGGCAUAUAGUAGCUCAAAGGGCUCAAUACGACUUAUUGAUCUGCGUCAAUCUGCUUUAUGCGAUAAUCAUUCCCAGCUGUAAGUAACCACUCAUAUUUUAUUUUGCAUUUUGCAUGAAAUCUUGCAACUAACUGUGCUUAUGUUGAGUGGACAAUGAAAUUGCAANNNNNNNNNNNNNNNNNNNNNNNNNNNNNNNNNNNNNNNNNNNNNNNNNNNNNNNNNNNNNNNNNNNNNNNNNNNNNNNNNNNNNNNNNNNNNNNNNNNNNNNNNNNNNNNNNNNNNNNNNNNNNNNNNNNNNNNNNNNNNNNNNNNNNNNNNNNNNNNNNNNNNNNNNNNNNNNNNNNNNNNNNNNNNNNNNNNNNNAUUCCAGAAAAUAUUCUUUUGUUUUGGAAGUUGUGUGCAGUGGUUUCUAAAUUUGAGCAGUAAUUUUGGAGACAAGAUAAUUAAUUAGUAUUUAUGGAGGAACUAAGUCAGAAAUAUUUUGAACAUAAUAUUUGAUAAAUUUUACAUCCUUUUUUAAGCACAUGAUGGAUCAUUUUAAUUAAUCAAGAAUCCUCGAGAUGUUGUGCUAAAUGAUAUGAGUUUUUGUAGUAAUAGGUGAAACUUUGCUUUUAUUUGGUUUUUGUUAAGCAGUUAAGAAUACAAUACUCUAAAGAUGCCAUUGAUGCGAAGGCUUCAACAUAUAUCAGUAAAGUGACACUUUGUUCCUUUUUUUCAUAAGCUUUGUUAGCUGUUUUGGUUGCAUAAUUUUGAAUUGGUAGUUUGAGUAAUUUCUGGUUACUGCAAUAGGCAAGGAAGUGGUUUAAAAAUUUAAUAGUCAGAUGAAAUGGAUUCUUCACAUUAAGGUAAUGAUCUACUACUACUGGGAUCAAGAGGUUCAAAUCCAUUUAUUUGAAGAGCUCACUACUUUCGCAACAUCUGUAUUUGAUUAUGAUAUUUCAUGUUACUGUUCAGCAUUACUGCACAAGAGAACUUGUUGCCUAUUCUUUUACAGAUUGUCUAAUAUUAUUAGUGAGUUAUCAAUUCUUUGGCCCAAACGGCACUAGAGCAUGGUAAUAAUGGUGUUGACAAGGUGCAUAAAAGGAAGAAGUAAUAUAAUGCAGUAUAAUAAGGAGCAAUUUUGUGAAUCAGAAGUUCAGAAAUGAGAACUAUAUCCGUCAUGCAAGCCUAAGUGCCUAAGAGGCACAACUAACUCAUCUCACAUGUUUAUGUAAUUUCACUUUUGUCCUUAUGCUGUGUAAACUCCUGCAGCUUUCUUUUGGAUUGCACAUUCUAGAUCUUUGGAAGUCACUUUAGACAGUAUUCCAUGAUUGUGAGCAGCAAUGUGACUUUUGCAGUUGACCCUUUCAGUUUUCAAGUCUAUGAUGACUUUCCCAUUGUCUGAAAAGAUCAAAGAAUGGACUUUGUCAAUGUUUUAAGCUGUGCACACUUCUGUUGGAGAAAUGAGGUUUCUCCUUGUAAUACAAUCUGUGAUCCUUCCUAAUUUGUAGGCAAAUGAGGAUUCACGAGCUCCUUGUUAUACAAAAUUAUGAUAUUUUCUACUUCAAGGCAAUCAAUAAUGUAGCAUUUAUGGAUAUAAACACACUUUCUUUCUCUUGCUGCAAGGUUUAAAGUCCUAGUCCCAGUAUUGAUUGCAGAUUGGGUUGGUACAAUACUAGGGUGGUUCCAUACUGAUACUUGGGACAUGUUGGCAUCCCGGUAUGUAAGGAUACAUCAAUUCUUUUAUGUUUUUCCUUUGUUUUGAUUUUUUUGUUGUUGUUUAGGGCUUUUUUCUUUUUUUUUCUUUUUUUUUUUGGGAGGGGGGCGGGGGGGCAUAAAUUAGGGUCAGGUGAGGUUUUUUAGUCCAUUAUUGGUGUUAGAAAGGGUUUGGAGGAGGACAGAUCUGAGCUCUGCUAGCUGAAUUUGAGCACUCUCUCCUCUUCUUUUUCUCCCUUCCCCUUUCCUCUUCCUGUUUGAAUUCCAACAUCAACAAAGUAAAUGGGACUGGUGCCUUUUUGACUGCAUUCAGGGCCCCAGGAUGGUAUUCAGCAGAACCAGCUGGUGCUGGUCCUUGUCCUGCUUUGUUUUGGUUGAUAUAGUCUUGGAUGGUCUGGGUCUGAGGGAUCAGGGUCUUGGGCUUCUCCCAGGACCUAGUUAGUCACUGGUUCAAUCUGGAUGCCCAGUAUGGAGAAGUACCGACAAAGCCUCGAAUUCCUAUUUUGCUCCAUUUUGUAUCAUGAAAAAAGUUCAUAGAAAGUAAAAGUCGAAUACCCAUCUCCUUGGUUGAAGUCAUGCACCCAUCAUCCUGGGCUGAGUGAGGCUGAUACUCUUUAUGCACAGACUCUCGUUCAUAUGCACACAUUUUUAUGAAAUCAUCAUACAUGCUUCAUGUGCGCUAGGUGAUGGUAGCAAAUGGUUGAACUCUUUUUUUUUCUUCUGUCCCCUGGCUUUGGCACAAUAAAAAACAAAUAUUGGUAAAAUAUAUGGCACAGCUUUGCUCUAGUUCAUUUAUAAGCUAGUAAUUCUGCCCUUUAAUUGAGACACAUGAAAGUUUUUCCCUUCCCUUGCUAAUUUUUUAAUAUGAAGAAUGAUGAUGUUAUUUGUCUAGCAGUAUUGCAGCUCUACCUUGAUUUUGUGUAACUAUUUCUGGUGUCUGUAGGAUUUACAUGUAGCUAUUUUGAUGUCUGUUUGUAGCAUUAGUCUGUUAUAUCUUUUGCAGUCUUUCCUAUGAAGCUCAUGAUGUUGGUUUUUGUUUUAUUUUGUUGUCUCAUUUAGAUUUACUUUUCUUUUUUUUUCCUUAUGCGAUUUUUCCAGUUAUGGGACAUAAACAUGGACUCUGGUCCUGUUGCAACUUUUCAGGUCCAUGAAUAUUUAAGGCCUCAGGUAAUUUGUUUUUGUUACAGUUUAGCUCAUGUUAAUUAUAGUUGGCGAGAAAGAUGUAAUGCACCAUGUACUUUGGUUAUGAUGGUUCUAUUUUCAUACAGCUAUGUGAUUUAUAUGAAAGUGACUCCAUUUUCGACAAAUUUGAGUGCUGCCUAAGUGGUGAUGGACUACGGGUAGCAACUGGUUCUUACAGGUGUGCGUCCUNNNNNNNNNNNNNNNNNNNNNNNNCUAUUUCUUUCCUUAAUAUUGAUAGUGCUGCUACUGUUUGUGCAACAACCAGCAAUCUCUUCCGUGUGUUUGGUUGCGUUGCUGGAAGCACAGAGGCAGCGACUUUGGAGGCCAGCAAAAAUCCCAUGAGGUAUAGUUGAAUUGAUCAUGGUAAUUUUACAUACUUAUUACUGACAAAAUGAUUAGACUCAAAACCUUUUUUCUUGUGUGUGUGUUGGUCGGGGGGGGGGGGGUUGCGGGUAGAAAAGAACUAGAUGAACANNNNNNNNNNNNNNNNNNNNNNNNNNNNNNNNNNNNNNNNNNNNNNNNNNNNNNNNNNNNNNNNNAUAUCCAGAUCUGGCCAAUACAUGUUUAAUUUAUAUGGUUGAAAAUACAUGAAAAUUUUAUACUUCACAUUAGAAUCAUAUUAGCUGAAAAUUUGCAUGCUGUUUUUUUAAUAUAUAUGUAGCUUCAAUUACAAGGAUAUGGACUUGGGAAAGAUUUAGCCCUUUAUAUUAGUGAAUGAUGGGGAAGGGUAUGCAAUGUCAACCCAAAUUGUUGGUUUAGUUUUGAAAGCUAUGGGAUUAAUGUCGAUAAUGUACAAGUGCUGGUACCCGAUGAUACUAUGGUGUCUGAGAAUCUACAAGUUUAAAAUUGUUCUUGUAAUUUUGCUAUUGUUUAUGUGGAGCGAUAACAUAGCAACAGUAGUAAUUGCUAUGUGGCAUGGAUCACAUCAUCAUGGAUCGCUGUGGUUAUUGAUGCAUUGUACAACCCUACCAAGAUGAAUGAUGGAAUUACUGGUAUGAUGGGUUUGGGUUUGAAGAAAGUGAUUGGGCGCUUCAGAGAUGAUAGAGUGCGAGUUGUUGGAUGUGGCAUUGAUGUCGUCUUUAAAACACAGAUAUGCCAAUAAUAGAUGCUUGGCAUGUCUGUAUGUCAUUGACAUUGAUAAAAAAAGUUAUAGGUUUUUUGGAAAAAAAAGGCCUUUAUCCCGUUAUGGUCCCAACAAACUGGGGAUCCUGGGAGGGGGACAGACCUAACUUUUAGCAUUUUUUCACACAAAGUGGCUGCUCCUCCAGGACUUGAACAUGUGCCAUUUUGCUUGUCAACCCAAGCUUUUUACCAUUGCACCAAUUGAUGACCCCUAAGUUACAAGUUUUCUGAAUCAUAGAAAAUUUAGUUUGACAUCAUUAGUUUAUUACAACAGAAAAAAAUGCUAAAGGUUCUGAAAUUUCUACUUAUCAAUUUCUUCUUUAGUACUGCAACUCUUUGCUGGUGGUCUACGAAACAAGUACUUGGUCAAACAGGUAUUGGGUGACUGUGUAUGUGACUGAUAAAAAAUGCAACUGAUAAAAAAUGCCUUACUCGGAAGGUUUGUGCCAACAUAUUUACUCGAUCUUGCCUUUUUGUUGUUAUUCAGAAGACAAGGCCAAAACCCUGCAAGGCCUGCAAGGUCUCUGAGCAGUUUGACACGUGUUGUCAGACGAGGUCAGUGUUCACCCAUUAACUUUAGUAGCUCGCAACAGCCUAUGCUGCAUAAUUGUUUGAGGUUUUCUCAGAAAUCUUCUCCACUUCAUAAUAUUUAACACAUAUACCAAAAUGUUGCAGGAGCAGAAACCUCAGGCAUUGAUGCAAAUGGAAACUCAUAUGAUUUCACAACCAAGUUGCUCCAUCUAGCAUGGCACCCAACUGAGAAUUCGAUUGCCUGUGCUGCUGCAAACAGCUUGUACAUGUAUUAUGCUUAGAGAAGGCCAUGGAAAGAAAUGAAUUAGCAAACUAUUUUUUUGAGGGGGUUGCUUCUUGUGGAAGCUAUUCUCGUUUCCUGAAACCAGCAAGAACCGGGAGUAGGAUGUGCCAUUGGAUGGUCACACGUGUUUGAAAUUGGGGCCAGCGGAGCUGUCAGAAUCCAUGAGGAAGUUAUCUGUCUUUUGUUCCCGGGAGGGCAGCCUAGCUCUGAUUUUUCUUUCCUUUUAUUUUCUUUUUUAUGGAGAAGAUUCACGUCUUUCAUUAUUAUGUCCAGUUAAGCCCCAAGGUGUGGUUGUAGCUCUCCUACAAUCAAACCAGAGGCUGAUCAAGGGUCUGUGUCUCAGAUGCUAUGAAGAGGCUGUUCUGCUGCCUGUCAUGCAGGGGUGUCGGGGCUUGUAUCUUCAGGACAAGCAUUUUGAGGCUUGUGAAAGCUGUUAUUAUUAUUAUUGUUCAUUUCUGUGCUAACCCUUUUUUUAAAUAUUGAAAGAGUUGUCAGCUCUUGUCUAUCAUCAGAAUAACUGAUAGCUGAAUGCUUGGGUUUUUGCUUGGUAGGCUAUGAUUAACUAUUUAAUGUCAAAUAUCACUUGUACCUAAAUUUGGGAUUCCAGGGAUGGAUGGCCUCAUCCUAAAUAUGCCUCUUGUCUUGGAGUUUCAUAUAUUAAUGACGGUUGUUUCCUGUAUGGGCAGUAAUAAUCAGGUGUGUGUAUGUUGAAUGAGCUUUUUGUGAUGCCCUUGAUGGGCAUGAAGGCUGAGAUUGAGUAGGCCUUGUUAGCAGGCAUGUUUGGUUCGAGACAGGCCUGCCAUCAUUAAAAUUCUGGAGACUUGGGACCUCAUAGUAACAUGUCAGACUGCACGGUGAUCAUCAGAAAGUGUCCUUCACCUUGUUGAAUUUUCCUCCAGAUUAUGGGUUCUGUGCAGCAAACUGGCUGGUUCUGCUGAGACGGCUCGAUGAAUGCAGCCAGAAAUGAGUUGGCUGUUGUGCUCGGCGAGUGAUCAAUUGUUUAUGCGCUGCGAUGAUGAGAUCAUCUUUGAUUUAAUGUGGCAAAGCCAAAGCGUUUUAGUAGGUCUUUUUAUACAUGAAACUUGAUACAGGUAAUGCCUGUCUCCUGCGACUAAAUGUUUAUCCGUGGACUGUUGCUUGUCCGCUUUGAUGCGUGAUUAGCUCGUGAAAGGCAACUGCUUGAAACUGCUUGCCAGCCCUUUACAGCUUCUUAGCGCUGUGGCUAUUCUAUUGCUGUUCUUUUUUUAAUGUUUGCAUGUUCUGGCAAUAGAUUUUUUUUUUGUAAGCAUUGUCAAAUAAGUAUGAGCUAAUUUCAACUGAAAUAACAUUUUUAAGGUACAGCUAGAACUAUUCUAGUCUAGCCUCUGACGGGGAUAGCUAAAAAUAUCUGCAAGUAAUACAUCAUAUGUUAAAAGUAUUGGUUGUGUUUACGCAGUUGUCAGCCAUAUGAAUCGGUUAAUCUAAGGGAGCAUUUGAUAAUGGCUAUGGUGGAAGUAAUCAAUUUGUUUCCAAUAAACUUGAUAACUAUAAUCACAAUUUUCAAUGACAUGCUUCCUCAUCUCUUUCUUUGAAGAGUUUGUACGAAGGAGAGUAUUUAUUUAAAAGAGGGAGUAGCAGAAGAAGGGCUGGACUGUCCGAGCGUAGUAGCCAAGAAGUGUUCAGUGAAUCAGAACGGAGUUGAAGCAGGGGGUGGAGAUUGCUUGCUUGGUUUGGUAUAAGCAGGUUAAGCAGGAGCCUACUUCGUCGAAGUGCUCCACUUUGGGUCAACUGAAUGCUCGAAGUGGAAACUCUUGGACCGAAUUGAAUUCAGAUGCCAGUAACAAGCGCUUCUUUUAUUGUUCUCAUACAUAAUUUGAGCUUUGCGUGAAGACAAGCCCAACAAAACUCAAAAUAGCGACGCUUCUAGACCUGCUGCCUCUCCGAGGUUAACCUGGAGACAACCAGAUGUAACCCAUAUUGGUUCAGGCUGGUUCAAUUUGAUUUGGGUCGAGUUCGGGUUAAAAGAUUUGGACAACACAAUCAAUCCAAAUCCAACUACCAUAAUUGGCUUCUAACCUCAGACAACCAAAUCUUAUCCUAUAUAUAUGUAAAGUUCCCACGCUAGUCUAACCAUUGCCUCUCUCAUUUUCUAUAACACUAUGUACUCUAACUGCUCCCACGCUAGUCUAACCAGUGCCUCUCACAUUUUCUAUAAUACUAAGUAUUCAUACUUAAGCUGCAUUCAAGAAAGAUGCAUAUCACCAAUGUCUAUGCCAAUGAUCUCGUGGAAGUCAAUGAUCAACUGAUCUGCAUCCCAAAACCUCUAAGCAUCGCACAAUCCCCAACCACCACUUAGGACCCAGCGAACUGAGAGGGUGAGACAUUGACGAGGUGAGAAAUGGACGAUCUGUAGCAGUACUUCAGAUUCAGAAAGAGCCGAUGCAUUAGCUAACAUAAAGAAUAAAUUAUGUCAAUUAUCUCAUAACCAAAAUACGCCAUCCCGAUAGCAGACUCUAUAUCGGUGCCAUUGUAUUACUAUAUUGAUACGUCUGGUAUACAAGCCGGUUCGCCAUACCAAAUAUCGGUGAGUCAUCCAUGCUAUAUAUCCUGAUCGAACUGGUACCGGAAUUUCAGUAGCAUGGCUCUUCAUGAAAUCACCCUAACCUGACAGGGUUCGAAUUAUGGAGGCUAGGAUUCUGUGCUCAAAUUUAGAUCAUUUGGCACUUGAAUUCUCCAAUAAGUGAGAUUGGAUAUUUAUUUUGCGAGUCCAGCCAAGGUUCACGCAGGAAACUCCCUUUUGAUCCCAUCCCAAAAUCGAAAUCCUAGAAAGAGCUGUCAUCCCCCCUUCCUCCACCCUUCUUCCAAACCCAACCCGAAGCUUUCCAACUCCGAUUCGAUUUUAUAGAACCGGAAUCCCCAUUCACGGCCGCCCCCCACUUCGAAUUCUAUGGCGAUGGAUAGCUCAGCAUCGCGGUUCCCUUCCCUCGCUCGACCGCGCCAGAAUCCCUGAUCUUUCGCGCCACCGUCGUCGUGGGGCUCGCCCUAGCCGAGCUCCCCGCCAUCGUCCUUUUCCGCCGCCCGCUAGAUGCGUUCCAAGCGCUCAUCUUCGCCUCCUCGGAGGCGAUCCUCCACCGCGAAGGCUACCCCCGUACGCAGCGUGACGCCGCUGGUGCGCUGCCGCGUGUCUCGCCGGCGCGGCGGCGGCGAUGGCCCGGGCGGUGGUAGCGCGAACUUGUGCGCUGGGGCCGGGACGCGGGAGACGGUUUGCCGGGGAGGAGAGGUGGUGAACGGCGGAGUUUGGUUCCAGCGGACUCGUUGGCUGCCUAAAGGUUCGUGUCCUCUGGAUUAAUUUCCUGUAAAUAUUUGACAUGGCUCUUGAAAAGGAGGAACCCAACAUAGGGAAUGCCACGAGGAGGCAUUGGAUGUUUUCGCUUCUGCCGCUGAGCCUCAAAAAUUAUAUCCACGGGAGUUUCAUGCCAAAAAAAAAAAAUCGAAUAUUUAUACUGCAAAUUUGAAAUGUAUUAUUUAAGAAAGAUUGCUGCAUUUGUAAAGUUAAACAAAAAGUAUAUACAAUUACAGCAGCAAAAGUUCUCCGCUCGCUCGAUCUUAGUCCUCCAUGCAUAAACUUGGAAGUAUGUGUUUGCUGCAAUGGAUUGUUCCCCUCUUCCUAAUUUUUUUUAUUUGUGCGUAUAAUCGAUACUAGUUAUAACUUAUGUGCAAAUGUAACAAAGAUUUUAUAUAUGGGAUAAGAAAUUUUAGAAACAUUAUAAUGUAGCUUGGAUUUUAAAAUUCUUUCUCUGUAAGUUUUUCAAAACUUUAUUUAAUAUAUUUUAGUUUUUCUAAAGAUAAAAUCAAGAAAAUUCUUUUUUUUAAAAAAAAAAUUCUCUUAAACUUCUUUUCGGAUUCCGCCGGUAGAAGAAUCCUUUCGUUAUAAAAAUUCAGCAUUUUUUAAAACUCUACGGGGAGAUCUAAUUAGGCUUAUGUAUGGAAAUUGAAAAACAAAAAACUAUAGCUAUUUUUAUAUGGUGUUAGGGUUUCCUUCCAUGUAUAUUUACCAAGUUAUUUUCAUCAACUAUUUUAAUGACGUGUGCAUUGAUUUGUUUGAUGACAUAUUUAAAAAAGGCAAAAGAAUCUAAUGAAACUUAUUUAUAAAACAAUAGAUUAUAGGUUGCUUACUAUAUCCCUGAUUUAUUGUUCAAGAAUUAUAGAAUCAGCUACAACAAUAUCACCGCAUGAUCUUUUAUCAGAAUGAAGCUUAAUUUACUCUUUCUCAGAUAUAACAAUGAUGUCCAUUGUCAUCUCCCCCCUUCUCUCUAAUAGAAAUCUAUUUGUAUUUGCAUGUAUGGAUUGAGCAACACUGCAGAGAAUGAAGUGAUUAAUUGGUGAGCAAUUAUAGCUCAUCAAAUAAAAUAAUGUGGAUGUAAUCAGGGCAAUUUUUGCUAUCUAUAAUUAUUGAUUUAAAUAAUUUGAUGAAACUAAGAUCCAAGAAGACAAGAUUUUGGUGCAAUGGUAAGGUUACUCUAUUAUGACUUAGAUAGUAUGAAUUCAAAAUGGAAAAACAGCCUUUCCACACAAUGGAUAAGAUUGUGUAUCUCUAAACUUUUCUAAACUUUGUAGUGUCAAAAAUCUCGCCUAUCAAAAUAUAAAAGCCUGCACCAACUGCCUCAUGUCAUGUGGUAAAGGAAUUUUUUUGUGACCUAGAAAUGGGCACUUCAUAAUAUCCCCCAAGAAAAGAUUCUAAGUUUUUUUUAAUAACUUCUAUAUUAAUUAAAACUUAUUUGAAUAAUAAAUAUACUGUUAUAGUAAAUCCUACAAGUCAAUGAAAAAUCCAAGAUCCAUUUUAGGAUUAGUCCAUUUAUGAAGCAUAAGAAUGCUUUUAUAAAACAUAAUUUAUCGUGUAUCUAUCUAAAGUCAACUCUCAAUUGAAGCGUGCGCUAUAGGCGUUAACAGAAAAAAUAAAUAUCUUGAAGGCACAUACUAAUUAUAUAUCAUUUAGCUAUAUGAUGCAAGAUUAUAAUAUAAUCAGCAUGUAAUUUGGAUGAUUGCAUCCAAAUAUUGUAAAAAUGGAUAUGUGAGAUGGAAAACCCAUGUGUGGAACUUUCUACAUGGAUGGUUGCACUAAAAAUUGAAAUCAAGAGAUGUCAUGAGGAGACAUAACAAUGGUUGCAAUAAAAAAAUAUGAUAAGGAAUAUGAUAGUGAAUGGAUGCGAUAGGUUUGAACCAAUAAGCACAUAUUUAUAAACGACUGUUGGUAAGGGACACGAUGGUAACGGAAUGCAUCUUUUCAUAAGUGAUUAUUAAUAACCUAUAAAUAUACUAAAUAAGAUCUCAACUGACUCACUUCUUUUUGUCACCAUAAUCAUUAUACGGUAUUACCAUUCUGUUCUUUUUUUUUUGUUCUUUCUUUCCCUUUAUUUCUUUUCCAAAAAGUUUGUAUUUCUAACAAUCCUUGUGUGGUCAUCAGACUAAUGAUGAUGACACAAGAUUUAUUCUUCAUCUCAAAUUAUUAACAUAUCUGCAUUCUGAAACCAAUAUUGAUAAUUUUCUUUUCCAAACAAGGGAAUCAGUAUCAAUAGUUCAUGUGAUUCCAAUUGGAAUGAGUUCCAACUGCAUUGGACCCACCUUAGGUCUAUAAAUUUCUUACUAAUACACUGCAACACUAGACAUUAUUAAUCAAAUAGUCAUAUGCAUCAUACAUGUGGAGAUUUGAAGUAUACAACAACCAAGGAAUUUAAUGACUUCAACCCAAGAUCUAACAGAAGCCUAUUCAUUAAAAUCCUAAGGACUCGUUUGGUUCGCGGAAAAAAAGAGAGGAAAGUGUGGUCAAUGAAAAGGAAAGAGAUGCCUCUUAUUUGGUUGGAGUUUUCAAAGGAGAGAGACAGAAAAGUUAUAUUCUCGUGGAAAUAUGAUUUCCACAUUUCAUGAGAAAAUCUUUCUUAUGAGCAAUAUGAAAAAAUUACUUUUCCGUAAUCCAAAAAUCAAAACAUUUUUAUUUUUUUUUUAAAAAGUCCUUCAGCAUCAAAUCAAAAAUUCUUAUUUGAUCCAAAACAUUAAAGACCUAAUUUCUAUUAAGGAUAUAAAUAAAAUUAUAAAUAACUUUUUUAGAAAAGUGGAUGGUCAACCAAACAACAGCAUUCUGUGAAUUUGUCACUUUCUUAUGAUCAACCAAACAUACCAAACUUAUUUUUUUAAGUAUCUAUCUUUUUUAAAAUUUGCUUUUCAAAAAUUAUAUUUUUAUAAAAAAAAAUAUUCCCACCAAUCGAGCCGUAAAUGUACUGUGAGUCGUGAUCACGCUAAUACUUUUCCGCGAGACAUUUUAGGCACUACAACACGGCCUCCAUGGUGGAACCCUUAUAUAAGCCAGUCGCCCCUCGGUCCAAAAGUCCGAAGCCGCUUCAAGCUGCUCUCCAAGCGUAGCCGGGCGUCCCCCACUCCCAAAGCCCUAAUUUUUCCUCCCCAAACCCCCGUCUUUCCUGAAAUGGGACGGCGGAAGGGCGGAAACAAGAGCCUCGCUCCGGGAGGCAGCCAGAAGUGCAGCUCGAGUAAUUGCCUCCACGACGCGGCCACCGGUACGAGCAUCGCCGGCGGGGAGGAGGUGGACGAGGUGAUCGAGGAGAGGACCGAGAGCUCCAACCUCGAGAACCCGCCCGAAUCCCUAGCCCUAUCCAGCAGCGAUAAAACCAGCGCCGACUAUUACUUUGAUUCCUACUCCCACUUCGGUAAUGCGUUGUUGUGACUCGAAUUCGAUGCGGUUUUAUGUGCAUUUGGGCGAUUUUGGUGGUUUAAAUCGAAAAAAGUUGUCAUCUUUUGAUCUGAUAUCGUGUUUUUUGCUUGCCCUGUUGUUCAAGAUUUAAUUCAUUUGCAUACUGCUGUUGUUUUUAAUAUUUGUUUUGUUCAUUGGAUGCCUAAUUCUUAUUCUGAGGUGCCAAGUAUUGUUGCUGUUCUGCAGGAAGAUUUUUUCUGGUUUUCUUAAGAAUGUAGAGUCUCGGCACUAGUUCGUUCACAAAAUAAAAAAAAUGUUUUUGUUCAUUCAUCUCUCUCUCUCUCUCUCUCGUUAUCUACUUUUCAUAUCAUAAUUUAGACAAAGGUAAAGCAAUUUUUGUUUAUUUAAUGACUUGAGGCAUCCAGUAGUAUAAUAUUCUGUUCUCGUGAGUUAGAUAUAGGAGUUUCUUAUAUGUGAGAGUUGCUCUUGAAUUUGUUGUUUGUAGCUCAGUCAGCACAGCAACUUACGUUUCUGUUCUCCUUGUAUGCAGGCAUUCAUGAAGUAAGUACGUCACAUUCAGCUUUCAGAAGAAGUGUUGGUAAUGAUGGUUUGUGAAUGGUGAUGAUAUGAAAGGACUUACAUACAAUUAUAGUUCUAUUAGAAAAGUGAACUUUUUCCUGUUCUUUGGCAUUUAAGAGAGGAUCAUAUGGCUUUAACGAAUAGACAGAGAGACAGACAGACAGACAGACAGACAUUUACAUUGCUUUAAUUAUUAACUGUUAUGUGAGAUUUGGGUUCUAAGCUAAAAUAUGAUUUAUUAGUAUGUAGCCCUACGAUUUUUAUUAGUGUCUUUAACUUUCUUUUAAGCUUGGAACCAGAAUAUCUAUUACCUCCUAGCUACCAUGCUUGUAUCUUCCUUCUUGUCAUCAAGAAACUUAAUACAAAAAGAACAACUCUAAUGGAUAAUCAGCAGACAUUGAUUCCAGCUGAUUUAUCAUGUUUUAUUUUGGUCUAUUAAGUCUCAUCUGAAUGUUUUGGUUAAUAUUCUGUUUUGCUUUCUCUGAAGUGUCCUGAAUUAAUCUCUCUCAAAUCCUUACAUGUACUUCCAACUUGUGAUAUAAGAAAAUGUACAUAAUGCUUUGCAAUAGUGAGUUGUGGAUUAUCUGUUAUUGUGUUUGAUAUUAUUUAUGCACUAGAAGUGUGUUUCAUGAUAAUUUAAGUGCUUAGACAAGUCAUAAUCCUAUUAGUUCUCUUUUUAGGGAGUAGGGAGGUGCGGUAUACUUGUAAGAGGCAGUUUUGGUGUAUGCUUCCAAAAUUUGAGGAUACAUUUGUUUGUACUAUAAACUCAUAUAUUCCUCUUUGGCAGUGCUAUCCAUGAUUUUACCCUUCUGCUGCUCCUAUGGGAGCUUGUGGGCUGCAAUAGCUCAAUCAUGUUGAAGUAGCUGUGUAAUAUGAUAUUGUGUACGUUUUCAGGUGCAUAUGGCAGUUUAUUGAGGUGUUACUUUAGUGAAAGCAGUUUAGCAAUUCAAGUUGGUAGCUGUAUAAAACAAGGAUGCUCAGGACCUUUUAUUUUAACAUCUUUGAGACUAGCUAGUAUUUUAAUUUUCGGAAUUUGCAAUUGUAAUAGUAAUUAAUUUAGUUAUUCUCAUCAGAGAUUCUGUGGUCUUUAUUUGAUUUGUUUUAAGGAAGGGAUUUUUUUAUAGCUCAUGUAUUCAGUGAAGAUAUGUUAUCAUGGUCUGUUUCUGGAGAAAUUUUGAGUCCUCAUAAUCUAUUUAAACAUGUUAUGUUGAGAGUCAGGAGGUAAAUGGAGGUCGAGAUCAAUUGACAUCACUAAAUAGUUCAAACUUGUGGCGGCAUAAAUGUUCAGAGGCUUUAUUUUGGGAGCAUAAAUGUUCAAGGCCAUUUCAAGUGCCAACUGCUAGUUUUUCAUUAUUUCAUUAAGGACAUUCCCCAUUUCCAUCUCUUGAAACAUUUUUGCUACAUAAUUUGCAAGUUUUUUUUUCUCCGGAUUUGUCAGUUCAAGGAUAUUUUUCUUAUUUCACAGAAGCAGGUUGUUUUUAGGCAAUCUUUUCUUUUAUUAUGUUUGAAUUCAAAGUAAGUUAUUCCCUCGUUGUUUUCUUUUGAAUAGUGUUUUUGGCUGCUAAGGUGAUUUAAGGUUGAUUUAUCCAAUGUGAAUAGAAAUGUAUCGAAUAAUAGGAUGCAUCUUUUGAGAGUUAUGAUAGCUAUAUAUGUUAAUUCCAUAUGAUCAGUCGUGUUUUCUGUGAAUAGAUUUUAGGUUACUUCUUUUCUUUUACUGUCUUCUUGCCCUCUUUUUUGAAAAAAAUUUAUUGUAAGAAAGGGAACUUUUCUAUUCUUUCAUAAAAAUGACAUAUUGGCAACUAUGAAAAUGUUGGUUAUAAACCAGCUCAUGAGGGCUAUUAUCUGAAUGAAUCUUCUGAAUUUAUGCUGCUACAUUUAUCGUACUGAAGAGACACCAUUAAGUUUUUAAGUGUUUUCCUAUCAAGCAUUACUAUUUGAUUUGGAAGCUUGGAAUGCUUCGAUUGACUAUGUUGAUCCUGCAGGAAAUGUUGAAAGACGUUGUCAGGACAAAGACUUAUCAGAAUGUUAUUUAUCAGAACACCUUUCUCUUCAAGAACAAGGUGGUUCUUGAUGUGGGUGCAGGAACAGGAAUUCUUUCUCUUUUCUGUGCGAAAGCAGGAGCAAAACAUGUUUAUGCGGUAGGUUUCCUUCCUUUUCUCUCUCUAGGUCUCUCUAUUUGGCAUUAUUACAUGUGACAAGGCUGACUGACUUGAUGAGACUGAGGAGCACAUAUGCUUCUAGGAGCUUGUUUUCAAGAAAUGAGCGGUCAGAUUGGUCGGUAACAUGAUAUACACGACAAAAAAUGUAAAGAAAUUGAGGAUCUGUAACUUAAUCAAGUAGGUGUCAAAUGGAUGGUUUUAAAUACUAUAGUUUACUAUGAUCUAAAAAAUCACUUGUUUUAAGAUGUGUGGAUCAUGAUCCAUUAAAUGGAUUUUCAAUUUAUGUGCCCUAUAAUGUGUGUUACUGUACUAGUGCAAUUGAUACUGUUUAUUUUUGUACCAACUUAAUGUAUAGUUUAGAAACCAUCAAAAUAUAUGAUUUCUGCUUUCUAGGUAUGUCUUUGUAGUGUAAAUCAUGUUUAAUGAUUUAGGUUUUCAAUUUGGAGGCUCUAUGGUUGUUAACAAAAGAUUUUCCUCUGUGGUAGGUUUCAGAUCUGUUAUUCUUCUAUUCUUUAAACCUUUUUUUUUCCAUGUAUUCUCUUUCUUUAUUUACUUCUCUUCUGUAUGGCAGCAGCAGUUAGCUAAAAUAGAAUCAAUAUUAGCAAUGUAGUCUUAUGUGUCAGCUGCCGACAGCCUUUUUAUUCUUCUCACUUCAUUAUUAUCUUAUAUCAGCAAUUCAGGAUUAUCCUUUAUAUUUUUCCCUUAUUUUUAAGUUGGACCCUGCUUAGAUUAUGGAUACAAUUUUUUGCAGAAAUGUGCCCGUCUUCGUAAUCCAUUUCUUUCUUUUUCCUAUUCACUAGAAAUCCAAGUGCAUCCUUCAUCAUCUCCAUGAGUUGUUUCUUUAAUCACAAUCUUACUUAGAAUUAGAUAUAACAACAAAAUUCUGAUUUUUUUCCAUUGGAAGUUUGGAUUUUAUAUUAAGGUCCAUCUUUUUUCACAGCAAUUUGGUAGUGGUGCAAAUAAUCCUCUGCAUUGUUACAAUGGUUCAAUAGACUUUGCAUGAACUUGUUUUCCUUAUCCCUUUCUAACAAUGGAGUGAGAAUUUCAUCAAAAUACUAAAUUAGGCCUUGAAAUGUCUGAGCUCAAUGGUUUGACAUCAAAAAGGUGGAAGGACAUCUGAGGUGGCUGGUGAGUUCCAAGUGGAUAGAGUAAAAUUGGACAUAGGGGGCUUCUUUUCCGUUUAUAUCAUGCAAAAGUGAUGUUUUUACCCCAGAUAACUGUUUGCCAUGCAGCAUGGAUUCUUUUCCCCUGAUGAUCUCUUAUGAUUGUUUCAAUUUUCAAGUUAUUUUACAUCAGUAAUUAAUUCAUGUUGUUAAUUAUUGCAAUCAAAACCCUUCUGCAGAUAGAGUGCUCCCACAUGGCUGACAUGGCAAAAGAAAUUGUUCAAGCAAAUGGAUUUUCUAAUGGUCAUUCCUGUACAUUGUAUUUUUUAUUUUCUGCCACUGCUAUGCAUCUUAAUUGCUUUUGUUAAAUGUUACAGCCAUAACAGUCUUGAAGGGAAAGGUUGAAGAGAUUGAGCUUCCAGUCACCCAUGUAGAUGUCAUUAUUUCUGAAUGGAUGGGUUAUUUCCUACUCUUUGAGAAUAUGUUGAACACGGUGCUGUAUGCACGUGAUAAAUGGCUCGUAAGUGAUGUUUCACAUUCAUUUUACCUUCUUCUUCUUGUCUCACAUGCUGUGUCUCCAAAUUGGAUGGUUUUUCUAGGACAAUAUCCAGUGCGAGAAAGAAUUUAGGUCUGACCAAUUUAGUCCAAAACUCAGAGUAAGCAUAGGCUAGACAUGGCUAUGCCUCAAUGAGAUCCUAAAUAGAUUUUUGGAAAGCAGUAACCUAUCAAAAGGGAGUGACCAGUUAAACAUGUAGAUUGAUUUUAGCAGUUGCAUGGUCCACUUUUCACCAUCCUAGCAGUUUGUGCAAGGUUGUGAUAGCAUAGUGGAAGCAAAUGCUUCUCAUAUAUGAGGCAGUUCAAUAGGACAUUACUAGUAAAAUAUUGUGAAGUGACAUUGAACGUCUAAUAUGUAAUGAUCUUAACUGAAAUUUGAUUGAAUGAAGAUGCAGCUCAGUCACUCAAAUUCUCCGCGGUUUAAUUGUUUUGAAUAAGCUAGGUCUGUCACAUGAUGGCAAUGCAUAUUAAAUUUGUUAUAUCAUGCUGCUAGAUUUGAAGUCAACCUCAUUGCAUUUAUUGCUGUAGCUAUGUGAAGUACAUGGUUUCAAAUGCUGGUAUGUGCUUGUCAGCACAUAUUGCAUAUUGCUGUAGCUAUGUGAAGUACAUGGUUUCAAAUGCUGGUCUGUUCUGGUCAGCACAUAUUGCAUCGCGCCAAUAUCAGCACCUGAUACAGUUCGACUUGGCACCUAUUUAAUCCUUUCUUAAAAAUAUACCCUUUUUAAAAUAUUUUUUAAUUACAAAUGGGUUUUAUUUUUCUUUUAUUUGUUUUGGUACAAUAGCGUAUGUGUGCCGGCACAGCAUGGCACAUAGUAUUAGGUGGGUGAUCAGCAUGCCAACUGACAUUGAUACUUGUAACCUUGGCAAAAUAUGAUUUCAUUCACAGAAAGCCGAGUCCAACCAUCGAAGACUGUCCAUUGCAUAACCAAUAAGAUUUACAGUGAUGAUAGUUGAAUCUUUAUGGCUUUACAUUAGUUAUUUGAUUACAUUUAGUUGUGUCGAUUCAUGUCGAUGAUAUCUUCUGGCGAUUAAAUGGCCUGUCUCAUUAUGUCUGAUCACUAUAUUGAUUGAACCCUAGUUAUCCAAGAGUAAAUGGAAUACCAUAUCAUCACUUAUUUGGUUUUUUUAUCGUCCCUUUUUUCAUGCAGAUUAAUGAUGGAAUUGUGCUACCAGACAAAGCCUCUCUAUAUUUGACAGCAAUUGAGGAUGCUGAAUAUAAGGAAGAUAAGAUUGAAUGUGAGCUUAUUUGUCUUUUGAUUUUUUUUUUUAAAUUAUGGUUUCUGCAUACUUAUAAUCGACACCUUUAGAUGGGAACAUUAUAUCCCUAGAACAUUUUUUGAACUUCUUGUCUUUCAAACAUACUGUGAAGUUUAUGCCGAGACACUGUUUGUCGUGCUUAAUUCUGUUUCUGAUGGUGUAUCAUCUCUCUGCUUGCAGUCUGGAAUGAUGUAUAUGGCUUUGACAUGAGUUGCAUCAGGAAACAGGCUAUGAUGGAACCGCUUGUUGACACCGUGGACCAAAAUCAAAUGGUCACCAACUGCCAGUUGCUCAAGGUGAUUUAGUGGAUCCGUUUUUUCUUAUCUCUGUUGCCUUAAUUCUUCAUUUGAUUAACAGAUUGCUUAAUUUUUUUUCCUUGCUCACUACUUUCAGACUAUGAAUAUUUCAAAAAUGGCUCCAGGAGAUGCAUCUUUCACAGCACCUUUUAAACUUGUGGCAGAACGCAAUGAUUACAUCCAUGCUCUUGUGGCUUACUUUGAUGUCUCAUUCACCAAAUGUCACAAGAUGAUGGGAUUCUCUACAGGUUCUUUUUCUCUAUCUUGGCUAUAAUCAUGAACUUCUUGGAAGAUUUUAUGUAUGUUCUGGAUCUAUGUAUGUACUGUGACUUCCAGCAGCUUGUGAAAAUGGGCAUGCAUUUUUGAAAAUGGGCAUGCAUUUUGACAAGAGUAUCAUGUGAACUUUUCUUUAUUUAACAUUUUGGAAUUUUAGCAUUGCUGCCUUCCGCCCAAACUCAACCUGCAUUUCCCAAGAAAUUCACUGGGCCAGACAGCAGGAGAUGGUACUAUACCAUUAUGCUUCGAAAAGUUGUGUUUAUGUAAAUGGGUAAAAUACUUUUAAGAGCAUUGCUUCAACAAUUGAAUUUCAUGUUCAUGCAAAUAAAAAAUUUCCUGUCAACUACAAAACCUGCGAGUCAUAUGGAAUUCACCUGAUUCUUAAAUUGAAUUUUUGAUAGUGGCCCCGGUCUUUGGAGUCAGGAAACUAGUUGAAUCAAUGAGCUAUAGUUAACCCACAAACUUUUGAGCGGCUGGUGUGGUGCCCAGGUGGUUUAUGUCAUUGAUAUAGUUGACAGGUUACAAUUUUGAGAACUAUCAUACAUUGUAAUAAGCAGUUACCCAUUUGAUAUAUAAGAUUUCUGUCAUUCCUUUUGGUUCAAAUACAGCAAUAUGUACCAGUAUGAAAAGAAUGAUGCAAAUUGUAGGCCUUAAUUGUGCAUCAUCCUCUCCAAAUAUUAGGAUCAUCUCAUUCUCAUGGUUCAGAAAAUUAGAUGUUCAGUUCUAAGCUCCUGUUUGUGCUGCAUAUUCUUAAUUUUACAUGGUUCUGUAUCCAUUCUCACCUUUUGCAUAUGUUUGAUGAUCUCUAACGAAUAGACUGUCUCUACAGGGCCAAGAUCAAAAGCUACCCACUGGAAGCAAACUGUCCUGUAUCUUGAAGAUGUUCUGACCAUUUGUGAGGGAGAAGCAUUGGUUGGGAGCAUGACUGUGGAGCCCAACAAGACAAAUCCACGGGAUAUUGAGAUUAUGCUCAAGUAUUCAUUAAAUGGACAACAUUGCCAGGUCUCCAGUACCCAGCAUUAUAAAAUGCGUUAACCUGUGAUCGUCAUUCAUCUGCAAGAGGUACCCAAUGACUUAUUGACAUGCUUUUAAGUUACAAUUUAUUCUGUUAGGCCAGCACACAGAAUUGGUGUUGCAAUGUGUUAUGAUGUUUGAUGAGUUUAUUUUGUUGUUCCAUCGACAAAAUAAUCAUAGCAUUUCAAUCCAAGAUUUGAUGUUAACCCUAGAUGGAAACUAUCACCAGUUAAGCCAAGGUAGUCAUCCAUGGUAGCAGGUGAAACUCUUGAUUAGUGCUAUGAUUCUGGCUGGUAUAGAUCCUAACAGGAAGUUAAUUGUUGUCAUUAACUUUGUAAGAUCAAUUGGUCCUAGAUAACUUAAUGAAUUAAUUACAACAAGAAACGAUUACUCUCUCGCUGCAGCCUGCGUGAGGGAAAGAGAGAGUGUCCAGGGCAUCACUAGAAUUUCGUGCUUUCUGGGUGAACUAGCGCCCAUUUUUACAGCUCUUAUGAUGCAAUAUAGUUUCUCUAUCAAUUAAAACCACGUAUGUAAUGCCAGAGGACUGGAUUUUUUUUUGUGAUAAAACUACUUAUUAUGAGGCAUAUUCUGCCAAAACACCAUUCCUUUAUUUUUGUACAAGACACUCAUAUUAUGGUACUCGAUUUCUCUUUUUUUAUUUGAAAUGAAAUGGAGGGAAAGUGGGAAGCUGCUGAAAUUAUUAAGGAAAGGAAAUUUACAACAUAUUACGAAGUGAGAGAGAAAAGAAACAAAACAAAAAAGAAAAACUCCCUAAAUUUCAUCAAAUGUAGACACCCUUUUAACUUCAUAUGCAGCGAGCCGCAGGACCAUUAUAAUUUAGUCAAUACAAGGCAUUAAAUCAAAGUGACUUCGGAAUGCCAGGAGAGUCACAUUUUAACUCUGAAAAAAAAUCGUUCUUUUACCUCCAAUUUGUCUCCGUUCUCAACAAUAUCAAUCUGGAGAAUCCAAUCCACCUCUUCCUUCUUGAGAUUAAAUAUGUUCUCAUCUAUCCCAAUUAUCUGAAACUCCAAAACCUAUAUCAAUCACAUCUUUAAGAAGGAAAAAAAAAUCAGCUAAAAGUUGCACACAAGAUCAAACGAUCAACCAGAUCCACUGCCAAUCUGGCAAGACGAGCAGGGAAUCAAGAAGGGAGGACGGGAGGGACUAUUUUGGGGCAGAAACACAGACCUGGCACUUGAUCAAGGGGACGUCUUCUGUCCGGGCGGCCUGAGAUGGCUUCUUUGGGGCAGCAAGAGCAAUAGGAAGGAGAAGCAAACAGAGCGGAGAGCCGUCGGAGAGGCCUCACCAUUGCUCACCUCCUUCGCCCUUCAAAGGGAUUCUCUAGUCAUGCCGACUAGAUCCGAUCAUUGGCUGAUUGGGUCUGAUCUAGUUCAAGCAAAUUCUCAUUCAGAUCUGAACCAUUUACAACAAUAAUUUAUCUACGCAUCCAGAUCGAGUUCCUUAAACUAAAAGGCUUGGAAAAAGGUUUUUUUUUAUUAUUAUUUUAUGGUUGCAACUGUUGUAUUGUAGUAGGUCGGGGGGGAAGCUAAGGCUUCUAUGGUAGCUAUGCUUCCUCAUCUUGCUUCUACUUUGCUUGCUUACGUGAAGUUUCAGCGUCCUUUUCGUCAGGUCCAAAUGAAGUGAGUAGCUCUAACUCCAGAAGCAGCCACCACAAGAACUGCACUUUAUGGUUUCAGUUCUCACUGCUGAUAAUUGUCAUUUGUGUAAGCAUUAAGUCCGAAACCACCGUUCUCACUGCUGAUAAUUGUUUGUGGUACUUUCCACUUAACAGUAAGUUCCCCAUAGGCUAACAAAAGUUUUAUUGUGUUAACAAGCGUAGCAUAAAUGGGAAGCUAAAAAUAUCUUGCUUUAAAAUAUUUUCCUGAAGCUUUCAUUAUCUACAUAUUUAAGUAAAACUAUAAAUACAACAGUGGUGCUGAAAGGCAAUGCAAGGGUAAAAGCAUGCAUGUAAGGUCCAACAUAAUAAUUCAACACUAAAACAUGCAUGUCAAUAUUAUGCGACGUGCUCUAAAGUAUACUGUCCUGAAAAAUUAUGUCCAAACAACUGAACACUCGCUUUCUUGCUGUCAUUUAUGUAUACAGGAAUAUUCGGGACCAAAGUAUGACAAUUGGCAGAUAUGAAACUCAUUCAGUGAAAUAGAAGAUGAUUUAGACAAGUUGCAUCUUAUUCAUAUCCUUUCACCCUGAAUUGAAGAAUGGAAUUGUAUGAAAUUAGUUUCUCCCUGUGGUGGCUGCAGUUUUCACAUAAAUGCUAUGCUUAAUCAUUGACAUGCAGGGACAUCUGAUGGCAAGCGAACUUCUUAUUCAUCAGAUUAUAUGCACAGGUUUUGGCUUUUAAAUUUGUUCUUUCUCAUAUUCUUGAGGCUUGAUAUAUGCUAUGCAUUUUGUAUUUCAAAUUUAUAGUUAGAAACAAAAGGAGUGGUAGAAACAAAAUCGAGCCUAUGUACUCCUCCAUGGUAAGAUAACAAUAUACAAUCUCCAUAGCUAGAUAACAUGAUAUGUACUCCUUCCAUCCAUGAAAGAGCCUAUGUCAACUUCUAAAAGGACAAUAGGUGAUCAACAUAUUUGAUCCAUCUCAUAUAUUCAAAGCAAUGAGUUGCUAGACAAAGAGGUACUUGCUUUAAGCUGAGCUAGUUACGUGUUAAAUUGAGAGAAGAACGACCUAUAAAUGCAAAACAUUUUUGUAGUUCAAGGAAUGGUUUAACGUUUGAAUAAAUUCAUAUAACGAACCAUCAUAAGCCGAUGUUGUUAUGCUAAUUUGCGGAGUGAGUUGGAUGGUAUCCUAAGAUAGCUUCAUCCGAUGACUUUGCAAUAGAUGUAUAUAAUUGGCUCGACUUUCUUUUCUUCCUUAAUGAUUGCAGUGGUGAUACAGGUUUCAAACCUUUUGAUGGUAUUUGGUGACCCAAAUGAAAUUAUCAUGGUGAUCUUAGAUCACCGAUGAUCUUGAUCUCUAAUGAUCUAAGAUCGCCAUAUUUGGUAUGCUUGUUCUAGCCAUUAAAUAUCCUCGGUUAUCCAUGAUUAAUUUGUUUGGUAUAUCAUAAAAAUUCAAAAUCACUAGCCAUAUAAUACCCAAACUACCUUUGAUGUAUUCCAUAUAUUUUGCAAUUAAAAAGAAUUCUCAAACAAAUCAUAGAAAAACAUACAUGACCAUAAAUCAAAUCAUCAAAACAUAUGAUUUUAGACUAAUUCAGCAAGAUCAAAAAUUAAUCAAAACUAAUCAAAGUAACUCUAUAGAAUUAUCAGAACCUCGUAGCUUGGAGAUUUUUUUUUCAAAAAAAAAGAUUAUCAAAUUCUUCUCAGCUAGAAGAGCUUUAUUUUUCAGAUAUUGGCAUUUUUGGAAAUAAUUUUUUUCACUCGAUCGAGGGGCAUUUUUAUUUCUAAAUUUCAACUUGUCGGGGCGAUCUUAAAAAUCUGUCCUCAAGGAUGAGUAUAAGAUCACUGGGUUGGGUGGUAAUUUUAAGAGUAAGGAUGAUUUUGGGAUCGUUACCAUAUAGAAAUACUAGAAUGCAAUCAAAUAUGAUGAUCUCGUCAUCUCCAUCUACAUCACUUAAGAUUUUGAGAUCAUCGCUCUAUACCAAAUGCCAUCCUGUGGUCAUCUGGAAGAAGCAACAUAGAGAGAUUAAAAUUUGCUUCAAGAAUGUUUGAAUAGGUUGGUCUGCUCCUAUCAUGCUUGAACGUUAGGACUCAGUUAUUCUGAUCAAAAGGCUGUGACGAGCACUUGCCAGCAAUUCGACCAACUCAACCUUCCAAUGCAACACUGACACAUGGCAUGACUUUUAGGUCUCCGCUCAGCUGCAUUUGUCUCUUAGCAGCCCAAGUUAAAAAUGCACGGAUUUGGAAAGCAAAACUUCCUGCAUGGUAACUUCAAGAAGCUUCCAUUAUUAGUCCAUGAACCUAUUUACAGUCUACCUGCAAUGUAUGGAAAUAGACCAUUUUUAAAGCCUUACGUCAGCCCUUUCUCGUGAUAAAACAUUUUUGGUUUGAUUACAAUUUUUGAAAUAAUAAUUUUUGUCCAUAUAUAGGGGGGCAACAAGAAGGUAUUUGUGUUCGAAAUUGUUUAUUGUUAUAGUCUAAAAUAUUUAUGGCUUUGUUUCUAAAAUUUAUAUAGUAACUUUAAAAUUUAUUUCAAUUCUUAAAAUUCUUAAUCAAAGAUUAUAUUGCAAAAAAAAUCAUAUAUAUAUAUAUAUAUAUAUAUGCGAGCAUACGUGUGUGCACAUGAAACAUGUAUUUAUAUGUAUGCAUAUUAUUAUUGGAAAGUUAAGAUUCUCUAUAAUUCACGAUUGAGCUAGAGANNNNNNNNNNNNGAGGGAGAGGAAGUCUUUCAAUCAUAACUAUGUAUAUAUUAUAUGAUGAUUAUAAUUGAUUAGACCUAUGCGAAUACAUGGGAUAGCAUGUGGUGUAACCUAGUUGGGUUGGUAGAUUCGCAUACGUUACAACCUAUAUAAUCAUCAGUUUUUGGUAUGGAAACAAUUUGCUUAACUUUACGUCUAUUUUAAGAUAUUUCUAAUAUAUUCGUAUAAGAAUGAAAUCGGAUCGAAUACGGAUCGGAUACAAAAAUAUCCAUACAGAUAUAUUUUUUUGUUUAACAAAUAUAGAUACAGAUACGAAUGUUAGCCAGAUGCAAAAAAUUAUAUCUAUAAUUGUUUUAAAUGAAUACAGAUACAAGUCGGAUACUAAAAAUAUAGAUAUAAAUACGAAUAUAAAUUGGAUAAUUAAACAUUAUGACCACAGAAUCAAAGAUAUUAUUAAGUGGAUGAUAAAUCAAGUUAAUAGUAUGUUAAUGUAGUUAUUUAUUUUUCUUAAAAGUUAAUAAAUGUCAUAUAAAAAUUGAAUAGAGUUACACAUAGAAUCGAAUAUUUGGAUAUGGAUCGAAUAAUUAUCUAUCCAUAUUUAUUUUUUUUAACGAAUAUGAACAACGAAUAUUAAUCAAAUACUUAUAUAUAUAUAUAUAUAUAUAUAUAUAUAUAUGUAGAGAUAUAUAUUNNNNNNNNNNNNNNNNNNNNAUAUAUAUAUAUAUAUAUAUAUAUAUAUAUAUGUAGAGAUAUAUGUUCAAAUAUAAAAAUAAAAUUGCACGAAUAUUAUCCUUCUACUUUUAUUUCUAAAUGUCCGUGAGUAUCAUCAUAUACAGUGAGUACAUUCUAUUCAUGCGAUGCCAUGAUUGUCGUAGAACAGCUGGGAUUGAACGAACGCCCCCUACUAAUUUGGACCCUCUUGGAGUCCAAUCAUCACAUGGCCAGGAUCGUACGGAGAUUCGCGGUAGACCUUUUGUCCGUCUUGUAAAGCAAAACGUGGUUUCCAUUCAUAGGCGUGCCCUCCGAUUACUGUAUCUCUCUCAUUUUUUUUGCCGUUUUAACGGAGAUACCUAGCGGCCGUUAUUUUCAAAAUUAUUUUUUAUUUUUGUGGUCAAAAUUAUUUUUUAUAAUUAAAAAAUGACUGUACUGUUUUCUUUUUUACGACGGCUGUUUAUAUUACUUUUGGGUACCGUCAACAAAAUUCAAAAAUAAAAAUGCCAAAGUAAUAAAAGAUCCUGAUGUGUCCAGAAAACUUCGUCUGAAUGCUGUUUGCAAUAAUUUUUUAUCCAAAAUUUUUCGCCCUCUUAAUUGACAUGCAAUUUUAAUUUUAAUAUAUUAAAUGAAUUAAAAAUACAACAAUAUUCCAUCUCGGGGGUGCAAGGCUUUAAAGUACAAAAAAUAAAAAUAAAAAAUAAAAAAAUCAAACUUUGAUUUUUCUAAAGAAUAAAAGGGUGGCCACGGCCGUCAUAUAUUUAAGGCGAUCGCGCUCCCCGUAAUCAUCGUAUGUUCCCUUCUUUUUAAGAAGGCGACGGCCACCAACUCCGGCAAACGAACCAUUUUUCCUCUCUUUUUCAACCGUUGGAUUUGACAGGUGUCAUGCACCGAAUCGCAUAGCAAGAAACCCGGCACCACCCUUGCAAGCCAAAAAUCCAAUCACGUCAAAGCCGGGCCCUUCAUCAGUUGUACCACACGAUCAGACGGUGCCGACCACCACGAUCUCCCAUGGUCCUGCUCAUACAGUCAAACCCUGGACCAUCACCUGCAUUCCGGUUUCCGACAAGUCAACCGGUCAACAACACCAAAAAUCUCGUCAUCUCAAAUCGGACGGCUCUGAUCGUUCCUCUCGUGAUCCAACCCUCACUCAUGGCUCAUGGGGUGCGGGGGGCCGGGAAGACUCCGGCUGCCAGCUAGAGAGAGAGAGAAAACUCGAGUCGAGGAGAGAGAAAUUAAUAUAAGGGGGUGUCGGUGGGGGGUUAAAAAUAAAAUAAAAUUUAGAGGAGGGGCCGCUUCGUAUAUAAGCAAGAACGUGGAGGGGAUUCGGGGGCUUUAAAACAAAAAAAGCGAGGCCGAGAGAGAGAGAGGCGGGGAGAGAAAGGGAGAGGCGGAGAAGAGGCGGGGAAGGGAUCCGGGGAGGGAAGGCUCGGUUAUCGGUCGUGAAAUCUCCUCAGCCGGCUAAUGGGGGAAUCAAGUGGGUCGGUUUCGGUCGAUGUGGAGAGGAUCUCUCUCGGUGGAAAGGUCAGGUUCUUUCUUAGAAGUAUAUGUUCCUGUUAUGUAUUUUCAUCAGAUCUUUAUAUUGGUUUUUUUAUUAUUAUUAUUUUUGUUGAUUUUUAUGGUUUCAUCGUGUGAAUUACCCGGAUUUAUGAUGAUACAAAUUAUAACGUUCUUUCAAUAAGAAGUUGUUUCUUUAUGUUUAUGAUUUUUUUCCGCUAUAUUUUGUUGAUUUUGAGGAUUUUAUUGGGUGAUUAUUUGGAUUUACGAGGACAUAAUGUGGUUUGGAUAAGGAGUGUUUUUUUGGUAAUAAAAUUUUGGAUUUUGUAUUAUUUUUCUGCAGAGCUGUUAUUGGAGUGUUUUGUUCUUCUAAUCAGUGCUGCAUUUUUGGGGAAUUCAAGGAAAAGUGCAGGAAACUCUAAACUGGGAUAAUACUGGGGUUGCUUUGCAUGUUUGGUUUUCUUUUUUAGUGUGUUGGCGUAAAAUCUAAACACAAUCGUCCUUUCUUGAUUUUGUUUAAUUUAUAAAUUCUUUCAACUUAUAGAAAUAAGUUGACAUUUCUAAUCACUGGAAGACGUAAAUCUAUCUUUGAUUUAUUAAUGGUUAAUGCUAAUGUUCAUGUGGCUGUACUUUUCGGUUGUAGUUUUUUUAUAUUGUUUUAGUUAUAUAUAUAUUAGACCUUAUGAUGCUAGAGUCAGUUGAAAGCUAGAUUGCUUGAGUUCUUUUUUUUUACUUGGAACAAUGGAAUAAAGGAUUAUUCCUUUCUUCAAAAGUCGGCAGGGUAUUAUUUUAACUAUUUGUGUUAUAAUUGCUUGAUUACAAAUUAAAAGGCUUCUAAACUAGCCAAAAGCCAAGAAGACAUGUCUCCAUAUUGCAAAAUUUUAAAAUAAAGUUGUAUAUAUUAUUGCUCAAAAAAUAAAUUUGCAUAUAAUAGAGGUAGCAAAAACUUCCUCGUUCAUAUAAAAAGGCACAAAAGUUAUUAUUAUGCUGUAUUCUUGAAUUACACAAUGAGUUUGAUGCUCUCUGUGUGGAUCUUCGUCUCAAUUCUGUUACGAUUCUUCAAUCUGCUCUUGUUGUUUUCAAACCCUAAUGGAUUGUCUUUUUGAAUUUAAAUUUUUGAGCGUCACCAUGCUAUUGUUCCAUUGAUCCAUGCUUAGGUCCAUCUACAAUCAUCUGCUUUUGAUGUCUUAUGCUUCUAAGUUUAUAUGUCGUUCCUUUGAUAAUCUCAACAGGCCAAUAUUGUUAUUCUCUAUUGCAAGGUUGGGACUCGGUAAAAUUGAGUUCUGAUAUAAUUCUGUUGAUUGAUUCAGGUGCUACCGAAGAUAUCAAGCUUCUUUACUACUAAACUAUUUGCAUUGAUUUGGUUGCUCUAUGUUAAACAUCUCUACUGUGAAGUAGUUUGGGGAAUAUUGUAUAUAAAAAUUGUCUGGCAGUUAUUUCAAACCAAUACUCUAUUUUUUUUAAAAAAAAACCUAUUGCAACACACCUAUUAACUUGAAAUCUAUACAGUGUGCUUCAUCUGUUAUUUAUCUUUUUGACUUUAAUUUUUGCACUAAUGUUUAUUUUAAACAUCCUCUAUUGCAAUCUUUCUUAUGGGAUGCGAUUUCAGUCAUCGUCAUUUUGCUUUCUUGGUCUCUUAAUACAGAAUGAUAUUUUUAUGGUGGCCUGCAGGAGCAUUUUGUAAAAACAAGACAUGGCACAGUGUCUGUUGCUGUGUUUGGAGAUCAGAAAAAGCCUGCACUUGUAACCUAUCCAGAUGUGGCUUUAAACUGUAAGUUCCACUGAAACAUUUUCUAUGUGAACGUUGUUUUCUUUUUUGUCAUCCCUAUUCUCCAUAUGUGUGCAUUGUUAAUGUUUCAUUUGGAGUGAUUAUAAAAUGUACGUGUUUAAAGGUUCAUUCAAGAAUGCAAUUACGCCGGUUCCCUUUUGAUUGAGUUAAUUUAUUCACUCAAUUACAGUAACACUGCCUAUUUGUUAUUUUCCUGAUGGUUUUCAGGGAUUUUUUACUCCCUUUUCUGUCUUUUGUUUUGAAAUAAACAGAUGCAUCGUGCUUCCAAGGAUUAUUCUUUUGCCCUGAAGCUGCUUCUUUGCUUCUUCACAACUUCUGCAUAUAUCAUAUUAGUCCUCCAGGACACGAGGUCAGUAGUUUGGUUUCAGCUUCCAUAAGAAAUAACCUUGCAUACAGUUCUAUUCAAUAUGGUUUGUUGCCAUCAAAUUGAACAUGGUAUUUACAUGAGUUUGUCAUCUUCCUCAAGAGUUGUUGCAGUUAGGAGCUGCUCCAAUUUCUUCCGAUGUUCCCAUACCCUCUGUCGAUGAUUUGGCGGAUCAGAUCGCUGACGUUCUUGAUAUUUUUGGGUAAUAUUCAAGUGCUAUAUCUGCUUGUGUGAGUGGAUCUUAGGAUGGAAGAUGUGUGGCAAGGCAAUUUGAAAUCUAACAUUUUUACAUCCUUUCAAUUUAUCCUUUCCAGGUUAGGUCCAGUAAUGUGCUUGGGGGUCACGGCUGGUGCUUAUAUCCUUACCCUUUUUGCUGUAUGUGGUACCACUUGAAAAUGUUGCUCUGUUUAUUGUUUCAAUGACUAAAGUUUUACUUCUUACUUCCAGAUAAAGUAUAAGGAGCGUGUUGCAGGUCUGAUACUUGUCUCUCCUCUAUGUAAGGCUCCCUCCUGGACAGAGUGGUUGUUUAAUAAGGUAUCGUGUCAGAUCCCUUUUGUAAGUUAAGAAAGAACACAGUUUAAGCUGAUGAAUAGAAUCCUAUCUUCGCCGAUCCUCAGGUAAUCUCCAAUUUGCUCUAUUUCUAUGGCAUGUGUGGCUUGGUUAAGGAUUUCUUACUUCAGCGGUACUUUAGUAAGGUAAACAAGUUUCAGUUUCACAGCUUUAUAUCUGAUUCACUUUACCAUCUGUCCGAUGUCUGAUGGUUUCUUCUUUCUGACUUUGUUGGCAGGAAGUCCGUGGAAGUGGACAGGUCGCUGAGUCAGCUAUUGUACAAGUUUGCAGAAGUGUGAGUUUUGAUUUACUCUUAUUGCUUUACAUUGUUUUGUCAUUUGGUGGGGUUUUUUUGAUCAUUUGCAAUGAUUCCUAUGAUUUUUGUCACUGUUGUAGUUGUUGGAUGAGAGGCCAAGUGAAAAUGUCUGGCGGUUUCUUCAAUCAAUUAAUGGGUAUGUCCGUACACCUUUGCUCUAUAAAAUGUCAACUUUAAAAGAGACCCUUUGUCAUUUUAACUUUUGCCUAUUUAUAAGCAGGAGAUAUGACAUCACAGAACAAUUACAUCAGCUACAGUGUCAGACACUUAUAUUUGUUGGUGAAGAUUCUCCAUACCAUUCUGAUGCCCUCCACAUGACAUCAAAACUAGACAGAAGAUACAGUGCCUUGGUCGAGGUAAUAUACUGAAUCAGUACAUCUUGGGUGCUUUUCCUUAUUUAUGGAUAAUGGUUGCUUGAAAGGGCUCUAUUCAGUCCCACUGCUGGCAUUUUUUUGUGUUUCUCUGGGGAAUACAAUGCAGGUCCAGGCAUGUGGAUCAGUGGUGACAGAGGAGCAACCCCAUGCCAUGCUGAUACCCAUGGAAUACUUCUUCAUAGGGUAUGGGCUCUACAGGCCAAGGCAGUUUACUGGCAGCCCACGCAGCCCGCUCAGUCCAUGGUGCAUAUCUCCAGAUCUGCUGUUGCCUGAAAGCAUGGGCGUGAAGCUAAAGCCUAUCAAGACAAGGGUGUCACUUCACAUUUGAUAGUGAUGGGCAUAGUCAGCGAGCGAGGUUUAGAAAGAGUAAAGAUAGCUUCAACAUUUUGUAAUGUUGAAGUUGUAGCUGAUAAUAUAAAUAUGUAUACGAGCUCUUUUGACACCUAGGAUGGAUUUCUUAGGGAGUGUAGAUGCCAAAGGAAAAGAUUCUGGUGGGCAGCCAGGGGAAUGCAUGGACAGCAAAGAGAAUCUAUUCCUUUCAUUUGUAGGCAUCAUGCUCGCCUGUAAAAUCUGCAUUAUUCAUGAUGAGCUGACAACAAUAAGAGGUAGUGGCAUCCUCAAUCAUGACUUGUGUUGUGUGGUUUCAUAUUCAAUGGAAACGUCCUUGUAGUAAUUAUUUUAUUCUUUUGUUUAAAGAAAGCAAAGGGUUAGUAAUCAUAAAAUUGUUGUGAUUUUUCUGGUCAUUCACAUGAUCCCUAGAAUCAUACCUUUAUUGGUACACCUUCUAUUUAAUUGUUAUUAUUUGCUUUCAGAAACUGACUUCGUGUUUCUUGUAAGGGCUUGAGAGUGGAACUGUUUCAAUGGUGAAUUUGUGUUGCUGGCCUUAUUGAGCUUUUUUUGUAGCCGGAGGUUACAAAGAAGUGAGUAGUUCAUUUGGUGAUGUCUGAAGCAUCAAACAAGCUGUGUGGAUAUAAGUUCUCGAAUCAUUUAUGCCUAUAUGAUCAGUGCAGCCUGGAGCUAUACAUUUUAUUCAGGGGCCUCCUCCAAUACCUGUCACGUCUCUUAAAGUCACCUCCCUUUAAGCUUGGAAAUGACUUCCCAAUAUAAAUGUUGGAUUUCUAUGACAGAUCUUAGAUUUGAAUUGUUACCAUUACAUGAGCAAUAUACUCAGUCCUAGAUGCACAGUUCAGCAUUUAGUUUGGAUGGCUGGCGAUGAAAUUCUUUAUUUCUUUGUAGAGUACUAUGCAGGACAGCAAUGGAAAUCAUGCAUUAGCCAGAGAUUAAGGUUGUCAUUAGUUAUAGAUAAGUUUUUUGAUUAUAUUGUUGUUAGGUAAUAUUCUUAAGAGCUCUUAUCCAAUGCUUUGAAUGUUGGCUGACUGGUGGUGUUUCUUACUGAUGUAGAAACUCGUAAGGAUUGUUUUAAAAAUUGGCAGACUUGAAUAUAAAUUAUUCAGUCCUGAUACACUUGCUUAAGAUCUAUUCUUCUGUUACUAUUUUUUCUGACCUUUAUUAAGAAUGUUGUCACUGGGAAGAGCUGUUAAUGAGUGCCAUGCGGUCCUCUCCAAAAUUUGGAACACUUUGGGGCGCACCAACACACACUCAUUGCACUUGCUAAUGUCGUGCAUGGUGAUAUUAGCACUGUCAAAAAAUACCCAAAGUUUAUUUAGCUUGUUGCAUUCGAUAUCAGAUAAUGGUCUUUAAUGUCACCACCAUCAUUUCUGCUAGCUGCUAAAUUCAAUUGCUGGCAUCCACAUUUUUAUUGGUGGUGACGUAUUAUUGGUCCUCACAUCAUCAAGGCUACCUGUGGAAAUCAUUAGUAGGCUGUGCUAAAUCGAAUAUAUUAGGGCUUGCGGAGGAUGCGGCAAGGAAGCCCUUGUUCAUACCAACCCUUAAAGCUUUAACUCUCGUCAACGUCAAGGUACCAAGUAGUUGGUUGAGGCAACCGCAAAGCCAGGUCAAGGAAUGAUGACGCUCGAAACAAGAUAAUUCAUGCAGAGGCAAGAAGAAAUUAUAUCCUAUACGGCAUGCACGGCAUGUUUCUCCAUACCAUCAAUCACAACUGCUCAUCUCUUUAACGGUCAAUGAGAUAAGCACUUAAUGAAUGAGAUCCAUAAGGAUGAGUGGCGGUGCAUGCCAUGUAGAAUAUAAUUUUUCAGAAGAAAAGGUGGCAGAGAUGGCUAAGCUCAAGAUGGAUAAACUUACAAUACAGCGAGGAUCAUGGUAAUAAUGAAUUAGGUCAUCAUAACACAACCCAUGGACACCAUAUAUAAGCGGAAUACGGGCCCCAAGCCAUAUAUGAGUUCAAUGAGACCAGGACCAUCCAGCUGGCCAAUUACUGGCCUAACCCUGGUCUUGCUACCUGAGAGCAGCAUGGCUCCUAGCCAUGGGACCAAUCCACACUGCUGGACCUGGGCCUGGGCCUACACGAGUCUGUCCCACUUGUCAAGGAGGUGCUCUCUUACUACAAAAGAGGGGGGAGAGAGGUUUGGUUGAAAGAAGGUUUGCAAAGACCAGCCCAAGAAACAAAAUAUCCACAACCAACCUCUAUUCCACUAGGUCUGUCAGAUGAAUCGCGCAGCUUGAGAAAAACUUAGAUCAAGCUUAUUUUUGAAGCUAAAUGAAUCAAGUGGCAUAGCCUGCCAACUUUAUACCAUGCAAACAACUUAGGCACUUACAAAUAAUUUCGAAGUUUAUCAGGGGACUAUAAAUAUAUAUUCUCCCAACGUAUCGUUCUUACAGAAACUGACCUCGGCGGUCUUUGCCUUAGCUAGCAACGUGAGGAUUUAUAUGUAAUUCGAAGACAAACCAGGGAGUUGAAGUAAUUUUCUGAGAAGCUUAAACUGGACUUCGGCUAUUAUGAUGUAUGAACCGGCCUCCCCCACGGACCACCAGUCGGGCUUUCCCACAAACAGGUAUGGAUGCAGGCAUGACUCACGUCACAUACAAAUAGUUUCAUUCAUACGAUGGUAUCGAUGCAUUCUUCAAAAUGAUUUAUUCUGGAGAACAAACUCUNNNNNNNNNNNNNNNNNNNNUUAAAGAAGCUUGGGGGUGGGGGCUCCCAAGUGAAGAACACUGCACGGAACACCAUGAUUUGUUUUCAAUCUAUGUCUUUUUGAAAGCAUUCUGAAAUUUUUCAUGUUUCUUUUUUUGAAAGCAUUCUGUGUUUUGGUUUUCGUUUCAAUUUUGCCCAUGUAAUGUAUACCCCUUUCCCCCCAACCGAAAAAAAAAAAUAAAUUUCUCCAUACAAACUUGACAGAAGCUCAUCUGAGAAAACAGGGGAUGAAUCCCCUGUUCAAGGGGAAACGGCGCCCCUAUUUUCCCUUCUCUCGAUUGCGCCCCGGGCCCUUUGUUUCCCNCUACAAUUCUACAAAGCGUCAGAGAGAGCACGCUUUUUUUUGUUCUUUCCCCUCUUCCAUCCCUUUGUUCCGUGGAUAAGAACGAGAGGAAGGGGCGGCGCUUUGUUUUAAUUUCGCAUCCUCUCUCAGAGCUCCCAGCCCUCUCGUUCUUCCUCUCACGCGUUCCCUCUCCCUCUCGCCCUCUCUCACACGCACUCUGUCCUUCUCUCUCUCUCACACACACACACAUACACACUCGUUCUCUCUCAGUUAAGCCUAAGGGGCUCCACCAUACCACCUCCCAUACCCCCGCCCUGCGACAGAAAACAGGGCUGGUUUCGUUACCCUGUUAUAAAAGUAGUAGUUAGAUAUUACAAUUUUGGAAUUUUAGAGGAUUCGAAUAAUUAUUUUAAAAAUAUCAUUUUGGUACUGAUUCCACGUAUAUGUAUGUAGGUAUGUGUAUGCAUGUGUGUGAUUUAGAUUACCAUGUUUCAAGAAUCUCAGGAAAGUGAUUAGAUUUACCUGGGGUAUUAUUGGCAUCUAUGAGAUAAGCGAUUUACUACAUCUUAGUGUGUUUUUUAAGAAAUCUUGAAAAAUUUUAAUUUAUAUUGCCUGAUAAAAUAGUUUUAACGAUUUCUGCAUCUGUUUGAUUAAAUUGUUAAGCAUGUUGUAUUUUAUCUCUGAAAAUGGUACAAAAUUAUAUAGGUACUUUGAUAUUUUCGUAAAUAAGUUAAUUUGGAUAUACGAUCUGUCUUGAUUAAGGGAUUUGGAAAAACUAACUCGGUAAUUUGUGAAAAUACUUGAAGCCCAUGGUGUUUGAGGAUUGUCUCUAUGAAGAAGAGGCUGGCAUCACUCACCACCCUCAUUUCAUGCCCGAAUCAAAGAACAACCCAAUAGAUGUUAAAAACAAGAAUGCUGCAACAAAAACAAAAAGAAAGGAUUUUUUCAGCUAAAACCAGGCAAUUUAUGAGGAACACAAGAUACCAAAGACCAUAAGCAGAUUUAAUGGCUUCGAUGAUGUAACGUUGAUUUAUUCUCAAAAAAAACAAUGGCUGACUGGACAAAUAAUGGCAGUAAUGUUUAUUAUAAGGAUCAAUGGCAAUUUCAGUAAGGAUUCGUUGUUUGAGGUUGCUGCCAUCAGAAUAUUCAUUGAAACUACUUUCAAACAUUGGAAAUAAAAUUAAGCAGUAAAAUAAUCAGCAAAGAAUGAUCAUUCUUUGGUCUUUCGUUAUGUGAAAUUCAAAACAAGCCAUAUCAUGAUGUCUAUGAUUUUGGGUUUAUGAUGCUCUUUUGACAAGGAACAUCUUAUAUUUUCUGCCUUUCCAAAUCUUUUUCUUCAGUUUACUAGUUCUUUUCUUCUUUGAGAAUGUAAGUGUGAUCAUGACUUUGCUGCCAUAAUGUGCCGAUUUGUUGAAAGUUUGCUAGUACUACGCUUGGGUGGAAUACAUGUAGAACUUUUCAGAAUGGCCACAGGAGCAGCACAAAAUGGCUAUCUGUGAAGAACUGUUGUCAGGUUGAUCUUAUAUUCCAGUGGAAUAUAUAGGUUUCUUUCGCACUACUGCAACUUUUUGCUGAGUAUUAUAAAGAAUAAUAUCCAUAGUUUUAAAUUCAGGAGACAUGAACUCUGUAAUAGAUAAUCCAAUUAGUUUCCUCCUAUCAUUAUUUUCCUAACUUUAACUUGAGCUGAAUGAUGAAGGCACUAACCAUACUAGAGAACUCUGUUUGUUAUGGUAUACUUCAUGCAUUUGCACAAAAAUUCCACAGUUUAUGAAGUAGAGUACAAUUUCAGUGAAUUUUACAUGAAACUUAGACCAAAUAAAACAUCAGCAAAAUUUAUCUGCAUCUCUGACAUUCUUUCCACUGUAAAAUUACAAACCAGGUCAGAGAGGUGAAAGAGGGAGGGAAAAAAAGGAAAGCAAGAGGAAACAAUUUUUUUUAAAAAAGGGAUGGUGCUAAAAUGGUCCUUGACCAUAAUUCAAAUAAAUUGACCCGCUUGUGCGAGAUAUUUGAGGGUCAAGUCAAGCAUGGUUAGUGAGGAACCCUGAGAGGCAGGGGAAGAGCUUCAUUGGGUGGCAUUGGAAUUGUCUCGAACUUGCAAUCUACUGAGAAUACUUGGGCAGCAUUUUUGCGAUCGACGGCGAUCAACCUGUUGAUGAGCUGCAGGAGGAUCCUUUCAAGCUCCUCACCAUUGCUCCAUUCAUGGAUUUCAGCCUUGAGCUGCUGAGGGUUGUCACAGAUGAGCUGCCACAGAGGGUAUUCCUUCCUCGGCAUCACAUAGUCUUCUUCACUUAGCCUGAGAGAAGGGCAGUAGUCUCCCUUCCCGUCACCCAAGUAGAUGAAUCGCUUCUUUCCCUCUACAGAGGCUUGUGCUUGGAUUCGCUCGAUGAUCUUACCCUGUAUUUGGCGAAAUCAAGGAUUGGAUUGAGAGCCAAAGUAAUAAGAGAAUCAAGACUCAUAGAAGGGCUAUAGCAACUCAAGACACUGUUACUUUCCAUUGCAACCAUGGUUCCUAAAAUCUUACUUUUAGCUGUGUGGGAAAUUUGUUAUUACAAUGUUUUAGAGGUCUACAUCAAUGCUUUGCCAUGUAUUUGGCUAAGAUAUAUUCUGUAUUCUUUGCUCAGGGAAGUGAUUAAAAUCUGUUUUGACCUCCAAAGUUCAAACCAAAUUGAUCUACUCUCUCUCUCUCUCUUUUCUGAAGCAUUAUGAAAGGAGGAAAGACAAAAGUUACAACUUAAAUAAUAAGAAAAUUGUAAAUUUUUUGGAAACAUUGAUGAAGUUAUGGCUUGAAAAGGCACUAAAUUUACAUGGUUUAACCUCUAUCUUCAUGGUCAGAGAAUAUUUACCAUAAGCAACCAUUGGAUUCCACCUUGCAUCAUGCGAUGACACAAAACACCAUAGUGAACAAAUAAUUAAAGAUUUCUUAAAAAAAUAGUUACCUUGCACAUGUUUGGAGGACAGAGGCUGCAGCCAUGGGAAGAGGUAGAGAAGUCAUGGUAAGGGAAGAUCCUAAGCCUCCCCUCCUCAUCCACAUAGCUUGGAUUGGUAUUAACCUCUGAGAAAUACUCAAGAAGCCCAUGGUGUUUGAGGAUUGUCUCUAUGAAGAAGAGGUUGGCAUCACUCACCACCCUCAGCUCACACCUAAACCAAAGAAGAACCACCCAUCAGCACAAGAAAUGCGUAAACAACGGAAGAGUCGCAACCAUCGGCCAUGGCAAAAGAAACAAGAAAGCGUACCCAUGAGCGUAAGCCGAUUUGAUGGCCGCGAUGACAUGAGGAUCCAAUGGAGCCUUCUUCAGGCAGUCUGCGAUCUCCUCGACGGUCUUUCCCUGCGAAUGCAGCUCCUUCAUCAUCCUAUCCUGAAAGAGUUAUAAAAGACAACAAUAUGCACUGAGAACUGAGCUGGAUAGGAUUUGUAAUGGAGAAGAAAGCAACGGGUGGGAUGCGGUAUCGAUGCACAAACCAUGAGAGAAUUCCACGGCAUGGUCGGGAGGAGGCGCUCGAAUAGCUCGGUGGCGCCGAGCUGGUCGACGACCCAGUUAUCGCUGUCGCAGUCUAUGAUCGUCUUGUCGAAGUCGAACACCACGAUGAUCCCCGCCAUCGAAUCUUUCGCAACUCCUCUUGGAAUAGCAAUUCUAUUCUGUGAGAAUUUUGAGGAUGCAAUGGCUUGGAAAGAGGGGGGGUAUAUAUAGGGAGCAGGGGGUGCCAGAGGAAUAAUAUGUGACACAUGUGGUGAUGGGAAAUGGGAGUAGCUGCGGACUCAGGUUUUCUUUUGCCGUUGUUUGGUUUUCUUCUUCUUUUUUUUUUAUCCCUGAGGAUUUAUUCUACAGUGGGUGGAAUAGCCACCACUAGGCGCGGUUCCGAGAAGAAUCGGGGAGGAUAGGAUGGGAAUAUUCGGGGGAGCACCGAAACUUUGGUGGGAACGCGUGGACCGCACGCCGCCGUCGCGCAAUCUCAAUGGUUUAGGAGCCUUCGGGAGGAGGGAAUAUUCGGGAUAGGAGCAGCCGGAUCUCCGCGCCCGCCUUAUACUCCGUGGCUUACCUUUCUUGAACGAUGGAGUCCAGAAGGAUUGACCCCGGCGUUCCUUCUUGGUCGUAUGACGACUGCUCCUGAUGUUUUGGGCAGGUAGCCAGGGCCUAUUUUUAAUUAUUGUCAUUAAAAUAUAUUUUUUUCCUUCUUAUCAUCUAUUUUUUCCUUCAUCUUUUAUUUUUUCAUUUUUCUUCAAUUCCUUUCUUUCCUUUUUUUUUCUCAUUCUUUCUUACCUAUUUUUAUUUUUUUCUUCUUUCUUCUCUCGUUCUUGUUUUUUAUGCGGAUUAGUUUUGAAAUCUUAACCACCUCCUAAUCUUGUUUACCAAGAGACAGAAUGGAUGGACAUGUAUGUAAUUGUUCGUAGUUCUUGUAUUGUUCAUAUUUGUAUUUACUUAGAUAAGUAUCCAUAAUUUUAUAAAUAAUUUUGGUAUUUUAUUUUUUUAUUUAAAAAUUUUGAUUAUUUGAAUAUUUUCUUAAAUAUCAGAGCAUUUUUUUGAUUUUUUUCUUAAUUUAUAGUGAACUUGUGGUCAUGUUUUUUUUGUGAACAAAGUAGAGGAGAAGGUAACAUAGUUCUGAUUUUUUUUAAUCUAUUUCUUUUUGAAAGCAUUCUGAAAUUUUUCAUGUUUCUUUUUUUGAAAGCAUUCUGUGUUUUGGUUUUCGUCUCAAUUUUGCCCAUGUAAUAUAUACCCCCUCCCCCCAACCAAAAAAAAAGAAAUCUCCAUACAAACUUGACAUAAGCUUAUGAACGAUUCAACAAAGUACUUUAACAAAAAGUAAUAAAAAGAAAAACUAAAAUCGGCUAGAUUAGCCCAACACAACUCUUAAUAUGUUGGCUUUGGAGAACUCCUAACUUCAAAUAGAUGAAUGCAGUUGAUGGAAGGCAAAAUGGAUCAUCCUACCUCAGCGUGGGAACACCCAAUUUUAGCGAAAUAGACCUCAGCACCGAGCAGACCAGACCUCGGUCCCGUUGGGCGCCAGUCCAACCUUGGACCUCAUCAAAGGCCGAGCUAACUUUGACCAGAUCUCUCUGCUGCCAUGAGCCCGUAUGAUCGAUCAAGAGCCGAAGAGGCCCUGUCGAUCGCCUCUAAUAUAACGACGUCCCAGGCCCGAGCUCAGGGCGCUCUGCAGGAUCGACCAAGAGUCGAAGAAGCCCCAUCGAUCACAUGUAUCCAUAAUGACGCCCCAGCCCGAGCUCGGGGUGCCCUACCGAGCUGACCUCCGAGCCGAGGAAGCUAGGCCGACCCUAGCGUCUGCCAAGCUGCCCUCACCAAGCAUAUAUCGCGGCCCCUAAGUCGGCCCGACCUCAGUACUCACCAAGCUGACUUCACCAAGUAAAUGCUAUNNNNNNNNNNNNNNNNNNNNNNNNNNNNNNNNNNNNNNNNNNNNNNNNNNNNNNNNNNNNNNNNNNNNNNNNNNNNNNNNNNNNNNNNNNNNNNNNNNNNNNNNNNNNNNNNNNNNNNNNNNNNNNNNNNNNNNNNNNNNNNNNNNNNNNNNNNNNNNNNNNNNNNNNNNNNNNNNNNNNNNNNNNNNNNNNNNNNNNNNNNNNNNNNNNNNNNNNNNNNNNNNNNNNNNNNNNNNNNNNNNNNNNNNNNNNNNNNNNNNNNNNNNNNNNNNNNNNNNNNNNNNNNNNNNNNNNNNNNNNNNNNNNNNNNNNNNNNNNNNNNNNNNNNNNNNNNNNNNNNNNNNNNNNNNNNNNNNNNNNNNNNNNNNNNNNNNNNNNNNNNNNNNNNNNNNNNNNNNNNNNNNNNNNNNNNNNNNNNNNNNNNNNNNNNNNNNNNNNNNNNNNNNNNNNNNNNNNNNNNNNNNNNNNNNNNNNNNNNNNNNNNNNNNNNNNNNNNNNNNNNNNNNNNNNNNNNNNNNNNNNNNNNNNNNNNNNNNNNNNNNNNNNNNNNNNNNNNNNNNNNNNNNNNNNNNNNNNNNNNNNNNNNNNNNNNNNNNNNNNNNNNNNNNNNNNNNNNNNNNNNNNNNNNNNNNNNNNNNNNNNNNNNNNNNNNNNNNNNNNNNNNNNNNNNNNNNNNNNNNNNNNNNNNNNNNNNNNNNNNNNNNNNNNNNNNNNNNNNNNNNNNNNNNNNNNNNNNNNGCGUACCACGCUUGCUUUGAUCGCGUUCUUUGUGCUGCGAGCAAGUUUGGCGAAGCCAAAUGGUCUUAAAUAAUUCUGGUUGGAAGGACCGGUGGGUCACAAAAUUGUGUUAGUGCUUGCAAAAGUUUCUGCUGGUUUCAAUGUGAUUGGAAAAGGUCUAUAUUAAUUUGAAUCAUAAUGGCCCAAUCUAGGUUCUUAAAACUAGAUUAAAAUUAUAAAGUUAGCCAGGAUUUUGUGGUCAAGCUGGGUCCAAACCAAUUAAAAAAAAAACUCGCCUGACCCAAAACAUGAAUUAAACUUGCUAAAGUGAGCUGGACCAUGGGUGAGAUCAUGUGUCUAUUGGGAUCGAAUCCACAGGAUUCCAGCUGUUGGUUUAGGCUUUCAAAUGUUGAUUAAGUUAAAUUUGGAUGUGGCUUACAAAAACUAGUGUAUUUUGUUGGAGAUCCACUUAGGACUUUGAUCCCUCCAUUGGUGUUUGUGAGGUGGGAAUUUAAUAUAAAGCACGACCUUCCCACCUUCCUAGUCUCGGAGGAGAUUAUGGUUGCCAUCCAGGACUCCAAAACAAGGGUACAACCUGGGCCAUCCAUAGCAGUCCUGUGGGAUUGGGUGGUUUUUUCCUUCUUUUUUUAUAAAAAAGUAACUUGAUUUUUCAAUCUAACGAAUGAUAUCUUCUAUAGAUGAGCAUGAAUGUUGUUGCAUAGACGUUUGAUUUAUUGGUUGAUGGUAUACGAAAUCAGGUCAUGAGCAAAAAUGCAUGCAUGGAGGGGUCAAUAUGCAUGGUAGAUUAAACGCUUGCAUGGAACGUUUGUGCAAUUGGCUAAAGGAUGGGCUAGUCCUGACUCGCGUGGUUGCCAUCCGAUUUGAAGUUUUGUUCUUGCCUAGAUUCUUUACGCUUCUUAGAGCCUUUCAGGAGUGAAUGGGGCUGAUGUUUUGGAUGAUUUGCAUGGAGAAUCUUGGUCACACACAUUUACUCCUCGUAUAAAUUUAUCUUGUAUAUGUGGAAUCAGAUUUACUAGGGUGUAACACAAUGCUAAUUAAGGAUGGGAAGUAUAUAGAAUUGUUGAUUCUUUUUUUUAGGAGUUUGAAAUGCUAUGGAUGUUUUGCAUCAUCUUCAUCCAAGGCUUUUGCGUUACAUGCAACGGAGAUUAUUUAUCAAUGCUAGGCAAGUAUUUGAAUUCCUCAUUCAAGUGUUGCUUCCUACUGUUGACACUUGCUCCUACUCCUUGCUAUUAAGAUGGGGUUUGGUUUACGAAAUUUUCAAAAGGCAAUGUAUAUAUGGUGCACUUAGAAAAAAAAAAAGAGAGAAAAAAAAGAAGGGGAAUGGAUAGUGUGCAACAAAAAGAUAAAUUAAUCAAAAAUAAUAAGCUUCUCUCUAUCAUUUUGGGAUGCACCCUCAAGUUCUAGAUUGCCUUUUUUUUUUAAAAACAAAAAAAAAAAAAGAAUCUUUAGACCUCGUACCCAUAUAGCUCCUUGUACGCACCCUAGCUUUAAUAGCAUUAGCAACAAUUUAAGACCAUGUCUAAAAAAAUCAAUUGAAAAAUAUUAUUUAGAUUGCUUGUUUUUACAUAAAUAAAGAUUUUUCGAGCGCACAACCAACAUGGGAUCGAACAAGUUCUCUUUUGUAAAACAUAUGCAUCCUUUUGAUUUCAAUGGAUGGGGAAAUAAUAAUGGAUUGCGCAGCGGGCCUAUGGACCAUGGCAUGACUGUUGGACUUCCAAUAAAACCAGCUCUGAUUGGAGCUAGACCGGCAAUUUGAGGCCCAAGACUGUUAAAAUCCUAUACAACUUCAGCAACUGGUCUCAUCUCAUGCACUCCUCUUCAUCCUUACCCUUUAGUACUCCAAGAACACCCUUCAUCGCUUAUAGUUCUUUGCUCCACUCCUUUUGCUCCUCUUGUGUGCUAUCUUGGCUCUUAUUAAGCUUUGGCCAUGAGCCAGAUCCACUUUGAUAUUAUUUGUAACAACCCAGGACGCCACGCAAAUGGCUAGCCAGAAUUUUUUUUUUGAAUUCCUUAGUCUUGUAUAAAUACCCAAAAUUUUCUCUGUGAAUAACCGAUGUGGGACUAAACACAUACCCACACGGAUCCUCACAUUGGUUACCAGAGAGUAUGCUAGCUCUUCUAUUUUCGAGAACUUAUAAAGCAUUCCCAGGAGCAACGGAUGAGAGUGAGCCUUGUCGAGUUCCAGAGUGAUAACUAUAGUUGGACGGAAGAAAUAAGGGUGCAUUCGGUUCGCAACCGGAAUUGAAAUUUGAAUUGCAAGCGGAAUGAAUUGGAAUAGGAAUAAAUGAGAUUUGAAUACUAAAGGAGAGUCGAAACUGAAUUUUGGAAGAUUGAGGUAUUUUCAUUUACUCCUUAAAUCAGAAUCAAAACAGAACUCUCCGUAACCAAACAACUGAAUUGGAAGUCAGUUAUUCUCAUUCUCAUUCUGGAGUCCAAUUCUUUUCAGCCAAAUAUGCCCAGACCAUCAAUAGCCUUUAGACCGGCUUUUGAUCUUGUAAGUUGGACUUCUCAAAUCAUUUGAUGUGUGAACUCAUAGGGGGUGACACCUCAUGAGGUCUUAUAAAACUGGUAACCCAUAGGGAAUGUGAAGCGUUUUGGGCCUAGCCUUGGGUGGGGGCCUUCUUUAGAUAAUUGGCUUUCUACUUAAUUAACCGAAACCUGUUCCAAGAGUAUCCCCACAAAAACAUGUUGAAUAAUCAAUUAUUAAAUGUUGAAUUUUGUUGCAUCACGAUCAUAUGCAUCUUUUUAUCGGUGGACAAGCUGAGCAAGAUGAAGAUCGAGCUUGCUUCUUUAAUAUUUUCCUUUGCCAUUUCAUGUCUUUUGAACUUUUCCAACAAAGACCCGAUGGUUUUUUGACAUGAGAAAGAGGUCCCUACGGAUUCAUGCAAGCGUUCGGUCCAAUACUGGAGCAGUAUCUUCGUAGCACUUCCCAUAGGACGGUCAGCAAAUAUUUUUAGGCUUCAGGCGUUUGAGAAUUGGGAAUGGAUGGAAGCCUCGCGAAAUAUCAGAGACUAGGGGCAGGAUCUACUCAAGCCUCUUGGAUCAAUACAAGAGACUUUGCCAACUGAGUCAAUUGGCAUCCUCAAAUUUAGGCCGUAGUUAUUCUUAAAUAAUGUAGUUUAUCUAUGGUUUUUUUAGCAUGCUACAUGCUUGGGCUUUUAAAUUAAUGAAAUGUUAGAUCCAAUAGUUUUAUUAAUGGGAAGCAUGUGGUUUCGUACGUCCAAGUGCAGAGUAUUCUGAAUUGUAAACAAAUCACUCUCUUGGGCGCGUACCUCUUGGAAGCUAGUAAGCUGCACUCUAUUUCCCAUUUGUUAAUUCUUCGGAAGGCCAGCUAUAGGUUUUUUGAAAAUGUAGAUAAUACUAACAGAUCCUGCAAAGCACUAAACAUACCUUUAGAGCCUUUAGCUUGGCUAUUAUAAAAAAUAUAGAGACUUUUAACUUCAAGGCAGAAGAUAAUGGUGAUGGUCGCUUCAAUUAAUGGUUGUAGAUAAGAAUGUCAUUAAUGAAUCAACGAAUAAAAGAAUGAGUUGGUUUUAUCCUCAAUUUACGUGGACUAAUAUAUGAACAGAUUGUAUAGAAGCCUGGCUUAAUCAGAACAGCUUCCUGGCGAAGUCUGUGAACUCUUCACCAACUUGACAUGAGUGUGAGGCGAAGCCCUUCAUCUCAAAGAGGCUCCUUCCAAGCUGCAAUGCCAUCUUCAACUGAAACAAAACUCCAUUCUCUCUCUUCUCCACUUCUCUUUCCUCCAAGUUGAGCUCAAUUACCUCCUCCAAUUAUCUGCAGAAGCCAGCACAGUCUAACUCAGGACCUCAACUAAAAAAAGGUAGCCGAGAUCUAUCCAAUUCUCUUCUCUGUCAUAGAAAGUGUUCGUAGUUUAUUUGGGUCAGAAGGGGAAGAAAGAUGGGAUGAUUUGGUCCAUUUGGAAGCAGUGUUUUGUGUUGAGAAAUGGGUUUGGAUGCCCUCCGUUCAUAGUGAGAAGAGGUGGCCGUCGAAGAGGUUUGAACGGGUGAAGAUUCAAAGGAAUUAUGUUUAUUCCAAGUUAUUCCAAGUUAUACAAUCUGAUGAACGGACUUCUUUAUGUUUAUUCCAAGUUAUUCACAAACCAAACUGAGCCCAUACGCUGCAACUUGUUUAUCUAGAUAUGUCAAGACAACAUGUAUGACACGUCUUUUUCUUCGAGACAAUAUAUGCAAUAUUUCUUAAAUUCUUUCUAUUUUUUUGUUAAAUGGUUCAAAAAUUUAAACUUGACCUUAAUCCAUUUAAUAAAUAGCCAAAUAGGUUUAAACGAAUUGACUUAUUUACGAUUCAAAUUUGUUUAUGUCAAUUCUAAAUCUGCUUAAAUCGGACCAUUCAUGGAUCGAAUUGAUAGGUUGGAUCAUAAAUUGCCAUCCAUAUGACAUGAAUGGGUUUUUUUUUCCUUAUUCUGGUGUAGUAUGCAUUGACCCUACAUGGUGAUUGUUUAUUAUUUAAUAUAAUUUUCAUAGCAUAACUAUAACUUUGUAGCAGAAAAAAUAAUUCACUUUAUAGAUUUUUUUAAACUAUAUCAAUUAGUUAGGUUGGACAUGGAUGGACUCCUAGGUAGAAAUGACUAACUAGUCUUCGCCAAGGAAAAGUCUAUGUUUUAAGCUUAUUAUUUGAUGCAUGGACGUGGUUACACAUCCAGGGUGUAACAUUUUUGUUAAAUUCAAUGAUGAAAACUGCCAAUGAAAAUCCAAAAUGCUUGCAAAUAAAAUAAAAAAAAAUCCCGGAGACUUUUUAUUUAUAUACAGAUGAGUGAUAUCCAAAACAUAUAUAUUCUUUUUAUUGUAAAUAUAUUAGAACUUAUAGAUCACAUACAAUAGUUUACGUUCUCAUUUUUCAAUUCUGAUUAGUAAAUUCGAUGGUGGAAAUAAAAUUUUUUGUAUAUAAACCAAUAGCGAAAACAACAAAUAACAGUUAAUACAGUACCAUAACAAUUAUAUGAUGAUUAUUAUUUAGUUAAUCUAAACUAUAUCAUGCAUAUAUAACAAAGUUUCAACAACGCUGCUAUUCUCAUUACAAUGAAUCCUCACCAAAAAUGUUAAUGAUUGUCAUAACGGUUUAAAGUGACCAUUAUUUGUCAAAAAAUUACUAUAAGAUUGGGUUUUGUACUGGAUUUAAAGUAAAAAAAUUUGUAUAAUGGCUGUACAGUGGAAAAUAACAGUCAACAAUAAAAGAAAAAAAAAAAAUCAACCCCAUCAUUUGUCUCGUUCACCAAAUAAAAAUCAUUUCUUUUGACCAUCCGAACAGUGUUUUCCAAAUGCCACAAAAUUUUGGGUGAAGGGUGCAAUAUUGGUAAUUGUUGUCAUAAUAUUAUUAGCCGUUAUAAUAAAAAAUAAUUAAUGUUUCAGUAUUCACUAUCAAUAUUUAAUCGUAAUGAUUACCUUUGAAACUAAUGACCGUUAUAUAAUCUAAUCAAAGGCUGUUGAAACUGUGACAAUGGCCGUUUUAAAUCUUGGAGCCACUCCAUUUGCAACAUUUUUAUCUUGGCUCUGUAUACCGAGUUAUUCAUUAGUUGAUGAGGUGGAAAAGCUUGAUGUUUGUAUGGUAAUUCAAGACAUCACUCACAAAGACUAGCUAAAAAAUAUUAUUAAUUUUUUUUAAUUCUAUAUAAGUUGUAAGAAAAUAUAAAAUAUAUAAAUAAAUCUACCUCAUCCUAUAAGCUUAAGCUUUUAGAAAAAGUAAUGAUUUCAACUUGAUAUCAGAGCAGAGGUUCUAGUUCGAAUUCUAUCUCUACACUCUUUAAUCCCAUUAUUAAAAUUUUCACAUGUUGGGCUCGCCCAUUAAAUGAAAGUCCGACCCACAUAUAAGAAGAAGUGUAAGAAAAUAUAAAUUAUAUAAAUAGAUUUACCUCAUCCUAUAAGCUUAAGCUUUUAGAAAAAGUGGUGAUUUCAACUUAAGUAUCCAAAAUUUAUCCAGUGAAUAAUCGACGUGAGACUAAAUACAUACCCGCACGAUCUUUACAUACUCACAUCGUUUAAACUCUGACGUCCUUGUCCGGCUAAAUGUAUAAAUUUAUUCAAAUCUAAUCACCAGAUAACUUAUGGUCAAUCUUAAUUAGUUGGUGCUGUAGUGUCCUAUAAUCCAUAUAGAUCAUAGAUCGGAUCCUCCCAUAUACUAUUUAUAAUAAUUUAUAAUCUUAUAAAAAAUUAAUUAAAAAUUAUUAUUUAAUUUUUUAAUUAUAUAUAAAUAUUGAAAAUUUAUUUAUUAAAAAAUUGAUGCAUGCACCUUUGAAGCUCGCAACAAAAGCAGCAAUGGGGAAGGGCGCUGCAUGUGCUAGCGUACAAACAAACGCAUGCCUCCGUAUGCCCUCAGGUGAAACCGGAGGGGGCGGCAAGCUUUUUAUCUCCCUUUCCCAAGGAAAAGUCUUUCCUUCUGACCUCUUAAUCCCUUCAUAUGUUGCCUUCAAUGCAGUGCCCCCACAGUACUUGCAGACGUGCUCUCUCUCCUGCGGCCUGCCAUACCGCCACCUUUCAAUAAAAGGAUUAACAUCGAAUAAUUACUCACUAAAAACAUCUUAACUACUCAGAAUCCUAAAACACUCCGACCAUGACUGAGUAAGAGAUCUUCCAAUGGAUUUUGCUGACAUCACCCUGUCCUCUCCUCCCUCCCCACUGCAGCAAUCUUUGGAACUGCAGCCAAAGGUGUCGUUGACUCGUCUCUCCCCUCCAUCCUUCUCUUUCUAUCCCAAGCACUCGCUUGAAUGGAAAAUAAUCCUAGGGAAGGUAGCCUUCCUUGGAGGUGUAGCUGAGAGCAGCUGCCGAAGAACAGAGAAUCCUGAUGACUUUGGCUGAGAUGAUCAUUCCUGAAAGAAGGGAUGGAGGUGGAAACGCCAGAAAUGAGCGGGGGAGAGGAGGGGGAGGAGGGCCCCCCACAAAAGCCUGCACCAAAGGUAAUGCUCCUCCCCCUCCUGCUUUUGUUUUUUCUUUUUUCCAACCAUGAGUAGCUCCUCUUUUCUUUCCCUUUUCAGAUGCAUGCUUUUGAUUGAUAUUUGAUGGGCCAUGCACCUCUCUCUCCUCUGCUAAAAGUCUCUUGGCCAUUUCCUCAAAACGCUUCUCUUUUCCUGUUCUGGGUCUGCUUUGCUUUUAUAUUUUCUGUCCUUCAAAAGGAAGUCUUAAAAAAAAUCCUAUUUUUCUGCUUUCUGGUUUGUAUUUUGUGGCUGGGGUGGAAAGGUAGGGGGCGGAGAGAGGGUCCAUGACUCACCUGGUGGUAUGAUAUGUUUUCUUGAGGUUUCUUGAGGAUUUAAAAUGGUAGAAUUGCAAGGGGGAAGGGGCCGGCUGGGGGCUUCUUGUAAAUGUCAACCUUAUGUUCUCUCACUGUGUGGGAAAAAAAAAGAGAGAAUGAUUAGUUUCCCGUUCAGCUUUGAACCCAUGCAUGAUGAAUCAUAGGAGGAGUGAGAACCCAUCAUACCUUUGAUGGCUCUUGAAUCCUUUGCUUUGGCUUUAGGGUAACUAACACCUUUUGUGUAUAUUAUCUUUUGGCUUUUGCUUUAAUGAAGCUAGGGAUAACCUUUUGGUUUGAUCGAUCAUAGGGAGUUAAAAUGAUGAAUCGUUUUGUAUGCGGUCAAUCUCAUGCUUGUCUUUUGGGGGUUUAACUCUGAAGUAAAGCCCACUUCUUUGAUCAAAUCAGAAAGAGCAUGUCAUUUGAUGUUCCAGACAGUAUCCUCUGGCUUUAUGCUUGUAGAGUAGGGAGAAUGCAUAGUUUUUCUUCAGCUCUGCACACCAUUCUUUCUGUUUGUGCGGUGUUUAAUAUCCCAAUUUUGUGGAUGCUUUUCUUUUUUUCAGAAAAAAGCAUUACUCUUUUUGAGUCUUGAUUUAAACAUAUGUAAUGAUGAUAUGUGUCUGAUAAAAUUGGUGCUCGAUUGUUUUACACUUGCUUUCGUUUGGUUAAUGAUGCGAUUCAAUCUUGUAUGCUUUUGAUGUGGAAGUGAAUCACUUUCCUUAGCUGGUAAAAGAGAAGGUUUUUUUGGUUUUGUAUAACAGGAAAAGGGAGGGCAGCAUCAACCUAGUUUAAUUCUCCGUUCUUUUGGUUAUAUUUCGGGAUAUGGGAAAGAAGUUACCUGCGAGUUGUCAUUUGGCCAUGGCCAUGGAUGUUCUGUGUGCUGUCAUGCACCCAAGGGAGGUUGGAUCUCUGAGCUUUACUUCUCUACUGCUCGCUCUUAUUUUCUUCAUUUGAUACAGAUGUCAUUUGGAACUCUUUUCAUUAAGAAAGGAACUAUUUUUUUCCUUAUGAUAUCUUCUACCAUGCAUUGAUCAUUAGUUACUUAGCAAGCAUAUUGUCUACACCAGCUGGUACUUUGCACUGUGAAACUGGAAAUAUAUGCUCUUUUUUUUUCAGGUUCAUGUCAGUCACUCUCUCUUGCACCCAUCUUCUCUUAAGCUGGAAGUUUGAAAAAGGUCUCUGAGGUGAUAUGUUGCUUACCAUCACCCUAAGAACGUGGUCAUGCUUUAAGUGACUUCUGUAAUCUUAGCAUAUUUUUAUGUGUUUAAUUUCAUGUUUAUUAUGUCUCUUCUUUAAGAACUAUUAAUAUGUGAAGGUUGUGCAUCUUUCUACAAUUUAAUGCUCAUGUCCAGAAAUUUAUUUGAUAUCUUUAUACAUGUCCCUAAAUGUCUCAGAGGUUAUUGUUUCCCUUUUCCGUUCUAAUAUCUAUCUCUGCCUGUUGAGUAUGAGUAGGUUUAUAGGAGAUGAUUUGGAGGCACAUCUUUUGCAUGUUGUAAUUAACCCUUUUUUUCCUUGAAUGCUGCAGCUUUUGAUAUUCUGUUCUUAAUUAGCUUAUAUUCUUUCAAGUAAUACAAUGGAUAUGAGAACAUGACUAUAAGAAUCAUCCGCAGACCUCGUAAUACAAUGACUUGGAACACGUUUACUAAUUCUGAUUCUAAGAGGAAAAUAUAUGUCGGAAGACAUCGGACGCAUCAUGACUGCAGCACAUUUUAAACCUCACUAGCCGAAAGUGCUGUCUGAUCUGGAGUUGAAUCUCUUUAUGUUACUUGCACUUGGGCAUCAUUAAGAGAAUAGGCAGUUACCUAUCAUUGAAAGAAUAGAAGUUAGGAUUACCUUGAUCUUCAAUUUUCCUUCCUAUAUGUUAUGAUUUUUCAAUAGUAUGAUGUAAUCUGACUGCCACCCAUACGAGGACUUAAUGAAAGAGACUCUGAAACAAGUAUAGUUCAGUUGGUCUACAGCACUGUUCUAUUAACAAUUCCUCUGAAACAGACUGCAGUUUUCCAGCAUCCCAUUGCAAUGGAGAAUGAUGUUUUUAAUGCCUCUCUACAAAAAACAGAUCAUAAUCAUAUGGACAUCGAUGCAGUUACAUCUGAUAUAUUUUCAGGUCCAUUCAUACAGUCAGGUAUGAUAGAUUAUGACAGCCAUGAGCAGAUGAUUUGUGGGAAUAUUUUGUACCCAACAUUGCCAGAAGAGGUCCAGAACAAUCCUUAUAUAACAAACCAUGGUGCUAUCUCCAAUUAUGCAUCAAGGGGGGAUGCUUCUUUCGAGGAUUCUAUUGGGAAAACUGGCCAGCGGAUCGGAGCUUCUGUGUCUGCUACUUCACUUGCCUACCUUUUGCCUGGCUCCCAUAGUUUGCAGGAAGAUCUUACCGGUUUGGGUGUUUCAUCAGCAUCGCCACUGGGUGAGAUCAGAGCCUUAUCAUCCAGAGACUGUUGCAAUACUUUUGGUACACAGGAUGUUGCUAGGUUUUCAAGACCAAAAGUUGAUGCCAAUAUGAAUGGCAAACUAGAUUAUGGUUGGAAUUGUGAUGGAACUCCAGAUCAUCGAGUUCCUUUGAGUAGAACAAGCAUUGUUCACCCAUCUUAUCAUGUCAAAGGACGCUCGGAACCUGGGUGGGAUUCCAAUGCAUCUACCAUCACAUCUGAUCAUUUACCAAGUUCUUGUGUGCCUAAUAAUGAGCUGUCCCUUAGGCUUGGCUCCUACCAGACUUCUAUGAUGAACAUGCUUAAUGCUCCAGAUCGGUGCUCAGAACUAAGCUGCUCCAAGUUAACUCAAGUUUCAUCAAAAGAUGGUGAAAACCCAGAUGCUAGUGGAUUGCAGGAUUCCUUUCGUGUUUUCUGUUCUUCGCAAAAUGUCAGUGUGGGAAUGGCGCUGGGACUUGCACAAACCUUUGCUACUGGCGAAGAGCUAUCUCUGUACCGUAAUUCUUCUCCCUUCUAUUUUCCUCGCGUUCUUUUAGGAUCAAGAUAUCUCUACAUAGGUCAACAAAUACUCGCCGAAGUUGCAAGUUAUGCAGAGCUGGAUGGCUUGUUUGGUGGGAUUAAGGGUGAGGCAAGGAUGCCCUUUUCUUCUAGUUGUUCCAGUGAAAGAGGAAUUGUAAGUGUCGGUUGUCAUGAGUUCCCACUUUCUUCUGGUGGAACCAAAUCUCAGGACCAUAUGGACCGACAGCAGAGGCUGGAAACUGAAAAGGAGAAGUCUCAGCUGUUAGUGAUGCUUCAAAGGGUAUGUAUCUCCUUUAUUGGUAAUGCUAUAUUAGAUGGUUUGACAUUUCAAUGAUUAAGAUCCAAUGAGCUAACAAUUGUUCAUGCAGUUGGUUGGUGCCUUAACCCUGAUGGCCUGCCCUUCAGGAGGUCCAGGUUUUGAAUCCUGGGUAUUGCUUAGAAAGAAAAUAAUUAAGAUCCAAUCUUUUUUUCAUUUUAUUGCUUUGCGGGUUGUUGUUUGUGGCCGAUAAAAUAUCCAUUUUCUUUGUUUCAAUUGGUCUGAUUCUGGUUCCGAUAAAAGUUACCUGCAAUUUUUCCUCCCUCUUACUAUAUUGCCUGUUGAUAAUGAAUUGUUGCUCCCCUAAGUCAGCGUCAUGGAUAUUUUGUUGUAGUACUUGUUUAUAAUCUAUCUUGCACAUUCUGUUUUUUCAAUCUGUUUAAGCUAAAAGUUUUUUUUUUUGAAACUAUGUUGCUUAGCUUUAGGAUUAAAAUAUCCACAAUGCAUUUGAUUGAAUAUCUUCUAGGUUUCACUUAUUGCAUGUGCAUCGAAGAGGCCGGUUAACCUCUCUCAGUGCAUCGUCACUUGUCAAAGGAUGUAAAUGGUCUAGACAUCAGACCUCUUCGACGUGGGAUUGGAGAAAGCCAGCAAAUUAAAUUUCGUAGAAGUUGCAUGAAUGGAAGUUGGAUACUUGACAUAUAAAUAUAUAUAGCAAACCUAAUCCCAUUGUCAUGUUGUUGGGAGAACUCAGGUAACUAGCACCAGGGAAUCUGUUACUCUCUUGUCCGAUGCUCUUUGAUGAUUUUUUUUUUUUUCAGUAGAAUGCCCUUGAUGAUUCAGAUUCGGUACAGUUCAUCUUGUUUUGGGCUUCCAUUCUAAACAUAACCUUGAUCUGGUCACAGAAUGAAACCUACAGAUAGUUCUUUGUUUCGGUGCUUUGAUGGUAAUGGCAUUGCUGGCAUAUGACAUUCGACCUCGUGAACCAAAAUAUAGUGUAGAUCGCCAGAAAACAAGACAGACAUCAUCAGCAGAUGUUGCACUAUUUGUGAGAAACAAGAGAUAAAGAAUGAAAGGAUUAGGUGUAACAUGGGAAUCUUGAUAAAUUACAUUCUUUUGUCAAUGGGAUGUUGGCUGAAAAAAGAAAAUCUUUAAUAAGAUAGGCUGUGGAGCUGUUAAAUUAGCAAGUGUUAAUGAACAUACUGUAGCUUUAAUUUACUGAAUCAGAAUCUAAAUGAUUGGGCUGAAAAUUUGAGAUCAUAAAGUCCUAUAAGCCUUCUUUCAGACCUGUAACUGGAUUGAUGAUUGGUUUUAUGAAGAUGCGACUAUAGUGCCUAGAAUCAAGCCCCAGAACCAUUAGGUCUCCUGCAGGCCUGCACAGAAUCUCGUUUCACUGAGCUGGAUUGUAAAAGUCACAGAUCUCAGAUCUGCCAUUGGAUCUGAACGAAAUUUGGUGCCAAAGAUUUUAAUAGGUCUUCUUGUGACGCCUUGAAGUAGAUCUCUGAUUGGACCUACAAAGAGAAAAAUUAUGCAUAUGGGAAUUGGCUGCUGUCGGCGGAUCUGCAGCAUUGGAUAAUUAAAGUUUGUGAAACCAUGUAAAUGGCUUCUUGAUCCAAUAUGCAAACAUGUUAGGAUUAUGAUCUUCAGCCUGCAAUCAAUUGGAAAUUAAGUAAUUAUUGCUGUAGUAGGAACUGUACAUAUCAGUAUUGCUUGUUUAUUACAAUCAGCACGCUGAUGCAGUUAAAGGCAAAGUAGGACUCAGUAUGGAGGCACUUAUGGGUCCAGUUGGAAUGCUUUUCUUCUACCCUUCAUUGGAAUCCUGUCCAAUCUCUCCCUCCACAGCAUGCAUCCAAAGCUCCAAGACUCACCAAGCAACCUGGUUCAUUAUCUUCCAAGAACCUUCUCUUGUCAUUUAUAGCUUAGAGUUGCCUCUGUUUGGCUAGAAAUUCCAACAUUGGUUCAAGCUUGCAUGUAUGAACCAAGAAUGCAUGUAUGGUCAUAUUCAGGACCCAAGUCCCAAUGCUUGGAUCGUAGAUAGACUCUAGCAAAAAUUAAUUUUUGAAUGCACCCAAACACAUGGUUUUUUGUUUCUCAGUAAUAAUGGUAUCUUGUCUCUCUAUGUCCUUGUCCUGUUUAUUCUCCUAUGUCAACAUCAUGCAUGGUUUCACAUUGAAUGGAAUCGUGUGCUCUAUAAAUGCGUGCCCACUUCAAAGGAAAUGUUUCAGCUGCUUAGUUUGGAAGUUCACAGCAUUCUUCAGUUCUUAAUUAGACAAUGGAUCAUCUCAGCUUUGGGAAUGCCUAGGUCCAACACAAAGGAUAAUGCUUUUUAAGUGCUCAGAAGUAAAAUAAGAAGGUCAACAAGAUAGUGAAGUAUUUAUGAGGAAUAUAUUUCAUUUGCAUAGUUCCUAAUUCAUAUUAUUUAUGACAGAUUUCUAUUACAUUCACAAAUCUUUUUGUUAGUAAUAAUAACAUACUCCUCCCUUUAUGAGAUUCAG